rnacentral:lncRNA from 1 species
AGAGCAAGCAACAGCAAAGAAAGAAUUCAUAGAAAGCCUGAAGCUGAUAGAAAAGGAGCUUGGGGACAAGCCUUACUUUGGAGGAGAAAGUUUUGGAUAUGUGGAUGUUGCAUUCAUUCCGUUUUAUAGCUGGUUUUAUGCUUAUGAGAAGUGUGGGAACUUCAGCAUUGAAGCAGAGUGUCCCAAACUAAUAGCAUGGGCUAAAAGGUGCAUGCAAAAGGAGAGUGUAUUCAAGUCCCUUCCUGACCAACAAAAAGUCUAUGAUUUUAUCCUGCAGAUGAAGAAACAUUUCGGAAUUGUGUAAUCCCAGCCGUUGUUUAUGAUUUUAAAUAAAAUGGGGACAUUUAUGUUAUGCCUGCCCUGUUGACAGUUCUUCUAUUUUUCCUCUUUCAAUCGCUUAGAUGGUUUGGGACUUGUCAUUUGCAGUAUGGAGUUUUUAAAUAAAAAAGUAAUCAGUCCUAUACACUUACUCUUAUAAAGAAGAGGGUAAAUUAUACUCUUAACUUUAAUGUAAUUUCAAUUUAGUCAUUUAAUUUUUAAAAAAUAAUAAAUUAAUUUUUUAAUUAUUUUCUAUUACAGACAAAAUGGAAAGUUGAUAUGUUAUUUAAUUGACUACGUUAGCAUUCUAAUUGUUGUUUAAAUAAUCCUAAUUUAAGAAAAGAAAAAUAAAGAGAAUAAUCCUAAUUUAAGAAAAGAAAAAUAAAGAGAAGAAUAAGAGAAGAAAUAAAGAUACCUAGAGGUGUGCAUGGGCUGGGUCGGGCUGGAGGCUCGCUCGAAAUGUGGGAGGGUUUGGACAAAAAUAUAGGCCCAAAAAAUGGGCUUGGGCAAAAAAAUAAGGUCCAUUUAAAAAAUAAGUUAGGUUUCGGGUAAAGCAUUUUUGGCCAGGGCUCGGCUCUGCCCGGCCUGAAUUCACUACAUGAUAACUUUUUUAAUAUUAUUUUUUUAUUAUUUUCUCUUUAUUUUGCUACUAUUUUACUAUUAUGUUGAUACUAUUAUGUUGUUAUUAUUUAGAUAUUGUAUAAAACUUAUUUUAUUAUUAAUUUUUUAUUAUUUUAAAGACAUUUGUUAAUUUUGUUAUUAUUUUAGAAUAUUUGCUUGUUAAGUUGUAUUUAUUUUAGUGUUAUUUAAGUAUACAUAUUUUUUAAAAUUUAUUUUUAAUUUGUUGAGAAAUAUUUAUUUGAUGUUUUUAGUAUUUUUUAUGGUUUAUAUAUAUUUUAAAAUUAUAUAAAAAAAUAAAAAUUAAUAUGGGUAGGAAGGGUCGGGCUGGAGUUUUAACAUUUUUAUUCGGGUUGGGCUUGGGCAAAAUUUUAAGCCCAUUUUUCUAGUCGGGCCAGGCCCGAGCUUAGCAAACGAGCCUAAAUUUUUAGUUGGGCCCAACUCGGCCCAUGCACACCUCUAAAGAUACCCUAGUUAUGGUUGUUUUGUUCCUCUAAUGUGGAGCUACCAUCCAGUUUGUUGUUGUCCCUUUUUUCUUCUUUUUUUCUCUUCUCUUUUUUUUUCUUAACUCUAGUCACCACCUUUCAUGGCCUUCUUCAGCCAACCGUCUCACUAAAUGGCUUAUCUUUGCCUCUUUUCAAAUGUCAUUUUAGAUUUCUCAAUAGGCAUUCAAAAUCCUGAGAUUAAGACCUUAAAGUUUUGAACAAGGUUUCAACGAAUUUUCGCCAUCCAUCGUCGAACUAUCACCAUAUUCUAGCCACAAUUCUUCUUCAACCAACCAUGACUCUUGACCGCUCGAAUCAUCGAACUAGUGGUUCAAGUUCUCUAACUCGUAAAACCCGAUAUGGGUGUGGUUUCUUCUCUUUUGAUUCUUAUUCCUUUUUAGGUUUUUUUUUUACUUCUCUCUUUUGAUGUAGGCCAAUUUGGGAUUCUUAUUCUCUUUUUUGCUGGUUUGAUUUUGGAUGCUUGCUAUUUUGUAUUUUUGUUUUUGGUUGGAAUUGCACAGGUCUAGAUUGUUUAGGGGUUGGGAUUUGGUUAUGGUGGUGAUGUCUUGGCAAAUGAGUGAUACUGAGUGAUGUCGGUGUGGUAAUUAAAUGAUGGCGGGCUUGUGAAGGUGGCCAAUGUCAAGGGUGGUGGUGAGGGAGUCGAGAAUGAUGAAGAAAAAUGAUGAACAAGCCCACUGUUUAACUGUUGCAUGUGAGAGGGAUGACAAGAAAAUGGUGGUGGUGAGGGAGCCGAAAGGGAUGAAGAAAAAUGGUGAAAAAGCCCUUCUCCUUUUCUCUUUCUGUUUUUUUUAAUGGUGGUAUAUGAGAGGGAUAACAAAAAAAAUGUCCAACAUGGCAAGUUGACUGGUCCCAUAGCUAGUUAACUGCCACGUCACCUAUCCAAUUAGGCCUAUAAUAGAGAACGUUAAUGGGUGACUGAUUUGUCACUUUUCGAUAACGUUAGUGACUGAUGGGCAUCGAAACCACCAAAUAUAAAUUUCCAACGCUCUAACUGAAUUAAAUAGUAAUAUAAAGAAGUAGGGUCGAUCCCACAGGGACUGGGAUUCCUAAUAUUAUUUUUAUGUGACCAGCUUCUAAAGUUGUGGCAGUUGUCGUGCACACAACUUGUCACGUGCUGGACUAAAAAAUAAAUCAAUGGGGAUUUUAGAUGAUAAAGGUGAAAAAAAGAAUAGAAUGAAAUAAUAAUAAAACAAUAAUUGAAAUAUAAAAUCAAAUAAUUGAAAUUAAAUUGGUAAAUAAAAUCAACAAAUUGUUAGAUUUAGAAUCAGUAAUUCUAGUCUCGAAGUGAUCAUUGAAAGUGGAUAUUUCCUUCCAAACAAUAAGUUGGUUAUAGUGACCAAAGCCACCUCAACCGCCAACUCCUUAUUGUGUAGUUGAUUUCGGUAUGACCUGCAAACCAACCUUUAUCAAUUAUCUAACCACAUAACACGUAUUCGCAAUUUAAGAUCUCGACAGUCUUGCAAUCUAGAAGAGCCCAAUUCUAAUUAACUGCCUCAACAGCGUGGGUCAUUUAAAUUCGAUCACUAUCUCUCUUGACGAAGGUCCAACUAGCCCUUAUCCACCUGGACACGCCAAUUUGUUCGCGGGAACUUAAACGAAGCAGUUGACCGUCUCGUUUUUCUAACUGUACGCCAAACUACUCCAACUCGACGUGCACUUUUUGAAUUGAAAUAGAAUUCACUUUAAGGGACGAUUGUGACUAUCUCAUAUUCCAAAGAUAUAAUGAAUAUCGUGUUGUAAGGUUUUAGCACAGGUUCACAUCUCACAAUUUUCAAUCAGAAUGAUAACCUGUUUAAGGCUAAAUGGGGAUUAGUUGAGCAUGAAAAUAAGCAUACUCAAUUGGGGCUUAAAAGUAGAUUUUAAUAGAAGAUAAUAAGUGAAGAAAGGAAAGGACCAAGAGGGCAAUUGCACCAACAAAUAAAAAAGAACAGAAAUGGAAAAAUGCUCAAUUUCUUUUCACACAGGAAUAAGCUAAUGAUUUUUUUUUAUUCAAGUUUUUUCCGUUACAUCUUUAUGCAACAAAUACAAGGUUUUUUAUAGACCUCUCAAGAGCUAAUUUUAGCAUGAUUUUCUCCUAAAAUCAUGUUCAACGACCAACGCAAAAUCAAUUUUUUUUUCUAAAAAUAGGAUUUGAAAAAGUCAAAAAUUAGAUUUUUUUAUCAACCCAAAAAUUGCAAUUUUCAAUUCAACCCCUUGUCUUGCUUUUUGUUCCAGUUUAGCUCGAUUUUGCUUAUUUUUGAACAUCGACACUCUAAUUUCGUCUCUGAUAAAAUUUAAGUAAGAAAUCAUAAACUUAGUAGCAUUCUGUUAAAAAAUUUACCAAAAAUAGGUACAUUAAACAUAAGAAAUUAGCUUUCUAUCAAAUUCCCCCUACUUAGUUGAUGCUUGUCCUCAAGCAUGUUGUAUAUUCUCAUACUAUAAAUUAUUCAAUAACUUUGUUCCAAAAUCAAGUCUCAUCCAACAGCUAUGCAUAAUGUAAAUAAUUUAGGUGUUAGCAUGAAUAAGUACUUACUUAGUUUAACCAACAAGCAUUUAUAAAAUUUUAACAAUGUGUAAAAUCAACCAUUUCACUAAAUUAAAGCUCAAUCAAACUUGCAAGGCAAUUGUUCUUGAUCAAAUUAUUUAACAAAUUUGGGACAUAGUCAAAUCUUUUUAUGCAAGAUGAGAUGACAACUCAAAAACCUCACCCAGAUUACUUAAUUCAAUAUGUCUCUAAACGAAUUAUUUUCCCUACUCAUGGCAACCCAGUUAGUGAAGUGUUUGCAUGUUUCGAUUCCUCAUUCAAAUUUUUUGACGUGAGGUAAGAUGAUAACCCAAACACCUCAUCCUGGUUACUCAAGUUGGUUACAUUUUCGAAAUCUUCACCAUAACAAAUCCAUCAACGGAGUAGUAUAUACAUACAGUUUUUAUUUAUAUACUUUUUAUAUAUAUAUACUUUUUUAAUUCUUUAUAUUUUUUAUUUUGUUUUUUUAGUAACAUAAAAUAAAAUGAAUAAAAUGAGAUACAAGUACUUUUAUUAAGCAAGUUUAAAGAACUAACAAUUUUCAUGAGAUGUUGAUUUUACCACAAUAUUUUCAAUUCUAUAAAACACUUGCCAAUCAAACUAAGCAAUAAGCAAUUAUUCAUGAAUCACCCAAUCAUUUGAAUUAACUAAGCAUAGCAAUUAAAGGCUAAAUUUCAAAUAAACUAAUGAAUGAUCUUAGUAUAAAAAAAUAAACACGUGCAAUGAAAAGCAAAUAAUAGCAUGUCAUAUCUUACGAAUGUGCAAUAAUAAAAAAGGGAAGAAAGAGAAAGGUCAAGUGCACACCCCUUACAUGUUUAAUUUGAUGAAGGGUGGUUUCAGCAGUCCAAGUUGGUUCUUGCCAAUUCGGUCCUGGGUGUAUGUUUUAGUAAAUGACAACAUUGAAAUUUGACAAGGCGUGCCUACACCAUAGAAGAAAUUCAUUUUUAAUUUUUAAAACCUCAACCACAUAAUGACUUAUCACGUAAGCACGUUCUGAAAACAUUUUUCGCCAUUUUUAGCUUGUCGAUUCCACCAUUGUUCCUAGAAAACAACACAUUAAAAAAGAUUAUAUGAUAAUCUUAUUAUUUUUAUUUCUAAUGUAAAUUAAAUCAAAUUCAAAAUUAAAAUAAAUUAAAACAAAUAUUUGGUUGCCUCCCAAAGAGUAUUUUUGUUUAAUGUCGUUAGCUCGAUGACUUGAAUUUUAUCCUUUUGGCUCAUUGAGAAUUAACUCUUCCUCUACGUCCAUUUGGAAGUUCUCGUAAAAAGGUUUCCACCUUUACCUAUUGACUUUGAAGCACUUCUCGGAUUUCUCGCUCUUAAUUUCGAUUGCACCAUAAGAAAACAAUUGAGUAAUAACGUAAGGACCUAGCUAUUUGGUUCGAAGUUUACCUGCAAAAAUCCUUAGUCUGAGAUCAUAAAGCAACACUUUUUGUCCUACUAAAAAUCAUUUACGGGAUAUCUUUUGAUCAAGAAAUGCCUUGGUAUUGUCUUUAUAAAUUUGGGCAUUUUCAAAUCCAUCAUGCCGGAUUUCUUCGAGCUCUUGGAUGUGUAAUUUUUUAUAUUCUCUUGUUGAAUUUUUAAUUACAGUUAUGUCGAUUUUCUUAGGCACUACGUGAACUAGGUAUCCCAAUUACUGUCUGAAAUUAGGUAUAUCCUCCCGAUGUCUAGUGAUUUUUGAAUUUCGACCUCCAUCAUCGGUGGAUUGAGACGUCUUUGAUAUGCUCCAUUUGGGUUUACAAAAUAGAAGGUAGGAGUUUAGUUUGCGAAAGAGACAAUUCAAAAUUUUUACCUGGACUUCUAGGAAAUUGUAGUGUCUCCAUGUGAAUGAUAGCUUCACGUUUUAGUUUUUUUAUUGUUAAUAAUUCUUCUAUUUUUCCAUAACAUCAAGAUCUAAACUCAUGCAAGGCUCAAUUUGUAAUUCAUCCUCUUUAUGAUAUUCAAAAUACAAAUUUGUCAGAGGUUCAAUUAUAUCAACACUAGAGACAUUUGACAUUGCACUGGGGAGACCCAUGGCCUCAUAAACAUUGCGCUUGACCACUUCACCGUCGAAUUCCAUAGUGAGUGUUCCAUUUCGAACAUCAAUUUUCGUUCAUGCGGUGCUUAAAAAUGGUCUCCCAAGUCAGAUAUCAGAAGAAAUUUUCAAGUUAUCAUCCUCCAUGUCAACGAUGUAAAAAUCUAUAGGAAAGAUUAGUUUAUUUACUUUGACAAGGACAUUUUCCAACACCUCUUUCGAAUACACAACUGACCUAUCUGCCAAUUGAAUGAUCACUCGUGUUUAGUAAUUUAAAAAUAGAUAAAGGCAUAAAGUUAAUAGAUGCACCUAAAUCACACAUGGCCUUUUUAAUGCUAACAUUACCUAUUUUCCAAGAUAUAGCAAACAUACAUUGGUCCUUACACUUAGGCGAAAUUUUCUUUUAUAAAACCACAAAGGCAUUUUCUCCUACACCUAUUAUUUCAUUACCUAUGAGCUUCUUCCUGCCAGUGUAUAAUUCUUUUAAGAAUUUCGUAUAACAUAGAACUUGCUUUAUCGCAUUAAGUAGGGGUAUGUUAAUUUCAACUUUCUGAAACAUCUCUAGAAUUUCUUUCUCUUCUCGCUCAUUUUUACACUAGGCUAGCCUUCCAAGAAAUAAAGGUGGUACCAUGAAUGGAUUUUAUAGUGUCGACUCCGUAGUAGCUGCUGGAUCAAGCUUCUAUUCUUUUCGUCUAGUUUCAUAAUCACGACUCUUGCAAGGUGCUGGCUUCAAAACUGUUCCAUUUCUUAAUGUCAUAGCACUUUCAUUUUAUCGUGGAUUUAGCUCUCUUUUUUUACGACAACUUCCUUGGGAUUCCAAUCUACUAAUCAUAAGCGCAAGCUUACUUAUUUGCUAAUCUAUUUCUUGAGGUGCACUUUAGUCUUCUAUUGGAACUUUUCAGUACUAGCAACUAAUCUCUCCACUACAACCUCAAAAGAUGUCUUUGGGGGUUAAAAUUGUUGAGUCGUUAGUGGCAUUGGCUGAUAAGGUUUGUUGUAAUGAGGAUUCGAUCAAUAACUCAGAUUUGGGUGAUCUCCUCACCCCGUAUUAUAAGUGUUUGAAUGUGGAUCAUAUCGCCUUUGGGGUGGCCUUGGAAAGUUUCCAGCGGUAUUUACUCGUGCUGUUGUAUCCUCGUGCAAAAUUAAACAUGAUUCUGUUAGAUGAUCAUACAUGGCACAAAUCCAGUACAACCGAGCUGUAUUCAUCUUUCCUACAAGUAAAUUUUGAACUACAUUAGUGAGCUUGUCAUUUUUAUCUUUUAAUGUUAGAGUAUUUAGCCCAUUAACUCAUCUUGUAGGUUCUGUAGUUGGUCAAAAUUGUUGGGAAUUCAUAACCGUGGUUGAAAUAAAUUCCCUUGCUCUUUGAGGAGUCAUGUUAACAAGUGCUCCUCCACUGGCGGCAUCAAUCAUCUUCAUUUCCAUAAGGAGUAACCCCUCAUAGAAAUAUUAAAAAAGUGAUUGUUCAGUUAGGUCAUGUUGUGGGAAACUUGUACACAACUUAUUGUAUAGCUCCUAAUAGUCAUAGAGUGGUUCGGUCUCCUUUUGUCGUAUUCCGACAAAAUCUCUCCUUAAUUCAGUUGCCCAAAUUGUUGGAAAGAAUCUGUCAAGAAACAAGCGAGACAUGUUAGACCAUGUAUUAACUAAUCCUGAAGGUAAAUAAAACAAUCACUCUCUAGAAGAGUCGAUUAACGAGAAAGGAAAAGUUUGAAGUUUGAUUUGAUCUUCAGUUACUCCCUAAGGUUUCAUACUUAAGCAAACGAUGUAGAAUUCCUUAAUAUUAGUGUGGUGAUUCUCAUUUUAUGAAUCGCGAAAAGUGGGCAAUAGAUGAAUUAAGCUAGAUUUUAAUUCAAACAGUGUUCCCCAUGUCAGAUAAGUUAUGCACAACAGUUAUUGCUUAUCUCGUGCUACAGCGAGUUGUUGAAUGGUUUGAUCUGUCAUUUCUUCUAGUUCACUGAGUGUAUUGUAAAUGUAUUCCAUGUAAGACAGUGUUUCGUAUUCGAAUUCUUUCGCUUAUGGUCAUUUUUCGCGUCGAAUAGCUUCUCUUCGCAGUGAUCGAGCUAACUUCUCAAUUUCUAGUUCAAAUUUUAAGGUCUCCAGUUAUGUCCUAGUCAUAAUUAAAAGAAAUGAAAUUAGAAUUAUUUUUCAAGUCACCGGCAACGGCGCCAAAAUUUGAUAGGCGUCGAAACCACCAAAUAUAAAUUUUCUACGCUCUAAUUGAAUUAAACAGUAGUAUAGAGAACUAGGGUCGAUCCUACAAGGACUGGGAUUCCUAAUAUCAAUUUUACGUGACCAGAUUCCAAAGUUGCAGUAGCUGUCGUGCCUACUACUUGUCGCGUGUUGAACUAAAAAUUAAAUCAAUGGGGAUUUUAGAUGAUAAAGGUAAAAAAAUGAAUAGAAUGAAAUAAUAACAGAAUGAUAAUUGCAACAUAAAAUUAAAUAAUUGAAAUUAAAUUGGUAAAUAAAAUCUAUGAAUUCUUAGCCGUAGAAUCGGUAAUUCCAAUCUCGAUUUGAUCAUUGAAAGUGGAUUUUUCCUUCUAAUCGACAAUCUGGUUAUAGCGACCAAGGACGCCUUAACCGCCAACUCCUCAUUGUGUAGUUGAUUACGGUACGACCUGCAAACCAACCCUUACUGACUAUCUAACCAUGUGACACGCAUCCGCAAUUUAAUAUUCCGACAGCCUUGCAAUCUAGAAGAGCGCAACUUGAAUUAACGACCUCAAUUGCGUAGGACUUUUAAAUUUGAUCACUAUCUCCCUUGAUAGAGGUUCAAUUGGCCCUUAUCCACCAAAACACGCUAAUUUGUUCGUGGGAACUCGAAAUCGGUAGACGACUGUCUCAUUUUCCCAAUUGUACACCAAACUACUCCAACCCAACGUGCACUUUUUAGGUGGAAAUAGAAUUAACUUUAAGGGACAAUUGUGACUAUCUCAUAUUCCGAAGAGAUAAUGACUAUCGUGUUGUAAGGUUUUAGCGCAGGUUCAUAUCUCAUGAUUAUUAAACAAAAUGAUAAUCGGCCUAAGGCUAAAUGGGGAUUAGUUGAGCAUGAAAUUAUUAUACUCGAUUGGGUUUAAAAGUAGAUUUUAAUAGAAGAUAAUAGAUGAAGAAGAGAAAGGACUAAGAGGACAAUUGCACCAAAAUAUAAAAAAGAAUAGAAAUGGCAAAAUGCUCAAUUGCUUUUCACGAAUGAGCUAAUGGUUUUUUUUAUUCAAGUGUUUUUCGAUACAACUUUAUGCCACAAAUACAAGGCUUUUUAUACACCUAUCAAGAGCUAAUUUUAGCAUGAUUUUCUCCUAAAAACAUGUUUAAUAACCAACACAAAAUCCUUUUUUUUUCUAAAAAUAGGAUUUGAAAAAGUCAAAAAUGAGAUUUUUUUAUCAACCAAAAAUAAUCUUGAAAAUUUCAAUUCAGCUCCUUGUCUUGUUUUUUGUUUAAGUUUAGCCCGAUUUUGCUUAUUUUUGAACUUCAGCACUCCAAUUGCGUCACUGAUAAAAUUUAAGCAAAAAGUCACAAACUUAAUAGCAUUCUAUUAAAAAUUUUACCAAAAAUAGGUACAUUAAACACACUAAAUUAGCUUGCUAUCAAUGACUGAUUUGUUAUUUUUUGAAAGUUGAAUGACUGAAUUGAAAAUAGAGUGACUGUUAGUGUAAUUUACCCUACAAAAGAUAAUUUUAAUAGUCCACUUGUUUGCAUGUAAAAUAUUUUAAUUGUUUAACUGUGCUUGUUUGGUGGAAAAUGAAUUACCAAAGGAAAUCAUUCUUCAAAAAAAAUGGUAAAAUCAAGAAUUUUUUUUAAGGAAAAUGUUUUACCAUUUUUUUUUUCUGUAUGACAUUUUUUUAAAAUUAAUAAGGUUUUGCUCCCUGUUUUAAUUGUCGAAGAAACAAAAAGGGGAAGCUUUUACAGUAACAAAGGGAAAGCUCUCUUCACUAUCGAAGAAAACAGUCCCUUAUAUUCUAAUUUUAUAUUUGUUACAAUUUAGCCCUUAAAAUUAAAAUUUUUACUAUUCUACAAUUUAAUUCCUCAAAAACAGAUUUUCUUAUUCUAUAGUUUAGUCCUAAACCUCAUUUUUUACAGUUUUGCAAAACAAUCCAUUUUCUAAAAUUUCCAAGUUUUAUAAUUUAGUCCUUACAAAUAAAUUGUCAAAAUUUUCAAAAAUUAGUCAUUGAUUUUUGAAUAGUUAAACUUUCAUAUUCUAUUUUUUAGAAUUGUAAAUUCUCAAAUAAUGUAAAUUAGUCCUAAAACUAAAGUUUUGAAAUCUUUACAAUUUAACCCCUAUAGUUUCAAACUUUACUAUUUUAUUCUCAACUUUCCAAAUUUUCAUAUUUCAUAAUCAUAAAAUUUAGUCGCUACAUCAAUAUUUCAGAUUUCACUACUCAAACCCUUAGAAUUAAAAAAUUUUACAAUUUGGUCCUUACUUCGAUUUUUAUUAAAUUAAAUCAUUUUUCAACUUACUCAUCCAAAUAAUAUUCAAAAUAAAUAUUUACCACUUUCAACUUAAUUAAUAUAAAUUUAUAUUCUCUAAUGUAAGAAAUUAACAAUUACGCUUAAUUAAGUAAAUUAAGAUUGAUUAAAACUAAAACAUGAUUAAUUAAAAUAUAAAUAAGUUUUAUGAAAUAAACUCAAUUAAACAAUGAAAAGAUAAUAAAAUCUCAAAUAUAUACUUUUUUUAUUGAAAACGGUUUUUAUGAAAUAUUUUCAAGAAAUUUACCAAACAGCAGAAAAUAUUUUACACAGAUUCACCUAAAUACCAAAAAACUAAGUCAUUUUCUAGAAAUCAUUUUUCGGAAGCAAUUUUUGGUGAAACAAUCACAACCUUAAUUAAUAUAUUUGCGGUUAUAAUGAUAAGUUCCUCUUUUUUUUCAUUUUUAUUAAUUUGAUUUUUUAUUUUUUAGUUCAAUUUGAAUUUUUUUUUAAAUCAUAUCAAUUUUUAACAAAAAUGUUGGCUAAAAUAUUGUUUUCAAAUGAUGUUGGCAUGACAAUUCAUGUAGUAAUUUAUGUGUAUUUUUGUAAAAAAGUUUAUUUCAAUUGGAAAUAAAUUUUAUCUAUUUUUUAAAAAAAUAAAUUUUUUUGUUCUAAUGAUUUUUUUUGUAAAAUUAUUUUUCAAAAAUGUAUUCCAACUGGAAUAAAAUAAUUUGAACAAAAUUUUUUUUUCGAAAAAUAAAUAAAAUUUAUUUUCAGUUGAAAUUAGCUUUUUUAGAAAAAUACUUUUUAGUAGAAAUAUUUUGGACUAAUUAGUUAGAUGCCUCAUUAUUUUUCAUGUUGAAGGAAAAUAAAAGAAAAUGAUAAAAAAGGAGAACUUAUGAAAUAAUUUAUUUUAUUUAAAAUUUAGUGCAGCCCUAAAAGUUUUUCUUUAAGCAUCCAAUUAAAAUGCAAAAUUUACAUAUUAUGUUUUUAAAUAUUUUAAAUCAUUAUAUUUUAAUUUAGUGUUGUAAAAUUAUCAGGCAAUGCGGAUAGAAUAUUGUACCAAACGUACUAUUUUAGUAAAUAAUCUCGUACCAUUUGAGUUAUUAUUAUUUUUAUAUUAUUGGAGUAAAAAAGAAACCGUCAAAAACUAUGAACUACAUAAGUAGAUGACGCAUGCAGAGCAAUCCCUAUUUUAUAUUAAAACAAUCACUACUAGACACUGCUAACGUAAGGAAUGGCAUAAGGAAUGGAUAUACUAUUCUCUUUACUAUCAUAUAUGGAAUGUACAUAGUAACUACAGUCAAUAUGGACAUUAAAAUACAGGUUUAUGACCGGAAAUAAACUUUUAGAAAAAUGAAAAUAUCGGGAGUUUUCGAGAGAGAGAAUUUUCUUUUCUCUAUCUCCAGAUUCAUUGAUUUAUGUGAUUAUGUCAAGAAAGACGUAGAAAAAGCUAGACUCUUCCCUUUUUUUUUUGCCUAUAAAUAGACAUACUUAUGCCCCUUCAGUUCAGAAUCAGAGAGAGAAAAGAACAAGCCCAAGAUUUUAGUUUUAGUAUUUGAAUCUUUAGAUCAAAAGAAUGGCAGAGGAAGUAGUAUUGCUGGAUUUCUGGCCAAGUCUGUUCGGGAUGAGAUCCAGGAUUGCUUUGGCUGAGAAAGGGAUUAAGUACGAAUACAAGGAAGAAGACUUGAGGAACAAGAGUGCUUUACUGCUGCAGAUGAACCCUGUUCAUAAGAAAAUCCCUGUCCUUAUCCAUAACGGUAAACCUGUUUGUGAGUCGCUCAUUCAGGUUCAGUACAUCGAUGAGGUAUGGCAUGACAAAGCUCCUUUGCUCCCUUCUGACCCUUACCAAAAAGCUACUGUAAGGGCUGAUUAUAUUGACAAGAAGGUACGUUCUUUUUUUUUCCCUUUUGGAACUGUUUACAUAAAUAGGAGAGCAAAGUAUUGUGCCUAAAAUAAUGUUAAAUGAAAUGCAGAUAUAUGACCUGGGGAGCAGAGUAUGGAAGACAAAGGGAGAAGAGCAAGCAACAGCAAAGAAAGAAUUCAUAGAAAGCCUGAAGCUGAUAGAAAAGGAGCUUGGGGACAAGCCUUACUUUGGAGGAGAAAGUUUUGGAUAUGUGGAUGUUGCAUUCAUUCCGUUUUAUAGCUGGUUUUAUGCUUAUGAGAAGUGUGGGAACUUCAGCAUUGAAGCAGAGUGUCCCAAACUAAUAGCAUGGGCUAAAAGGUGCAUGCAAAAGGAGAGUGUAGCCAAGUCCCUUCCUGACCAACAAAAAGUCUAUGAUUUUAUCCUGCAGAUGAAGAAACAUUUUGGAAUUGAGUAAUUCCAGCUUUUGUUUAUGAUUUUAAAUAAAAUGGGGACAUGUAUGUUGUGCCUCCCCUGUUCUCAGUUCUUCUAUUUUUCGUUUUUCAAUCGAUCAGAUGGUUUGGGAUUUGUCGGUUGCAGUAUGUAGUUUUUAAAUUAAAGGUAAUCAAUACUAAACACUUGCUCUUAUCUUAUUUCAAUCGUAUUAGUUUUCUUAUAAUAAAAAAAGUGUAGAGUGACUCAAUUUUGAUGUAUGUUAUAAAACAGUUAUUUUGAUUUUAAUUUAAUUAUUUAACUUUCCAAAAAUAAUAAAUCAAUCAUUCAAAUUAUUUUCUUUUACUAUUUUCCUUUACAGUAACACAGAAAGUUAAUUUGUUAUUUAAUUGGCAUAAAUAUAUAUUCAAUUGUUUUUUACAAAAAUAUUUUAAUUUUUUUAUAAUUAAUUUAAGUUAUUGGUGAAAGAUAAAUAAAAUGUUCCUAAAAUUUGUAUUUAUUUAUUUAUUUUUGUGAAAACCUGAUGUAAAUAAAUUAGUUUUAUAAAUGCAUAAAAUAAUAAUGUUAUUUUAAGUUUUAAAGUAAGUAAUUUGCAUAUUGUAAGUGUUGAAUAAUACUUUUGUUUUGCUAUGGUAUUUUAAUUAAUAUUAUAUAUAAAAUAAUUAUAAAUUCAAAAAAUUAUGUUAAUAUUAUUUUAUCAUAUUUACUAAAAAAUAUGAAAGCAUACAACUACAUGGUUUUAGAUUAUAUAUUUUAUACUUUUAAUGGUUCAUAAAAAUGUUGAAUCUAUAAACUUGUUAUCUACUAUAAGAUAAUUUUUUUUAUUUGUUGAAGAUAUAUUUUUAUUUAAUUUAAUAUUAUAAGUGGCUUAAUAAUCAUUUUAUUAUUAUUUCACAAACAUGUGUCUGUUUCUUUAUUUUUUAAUAUUUUAUUAUAUUUUUAUAAGAUAUUUUUCAAACCAUUACUCCAAUAAUAAUGUAUCAAAUUUUUUUUUUGAAAUCAAAAUGACAAAUGAAGUAAGCUAGUUGACAUUUUAUUGAGAAAAAAAUUGAAAUUAAUUUUUUAUUUUUUAAAAUUGAUCAAAUCAUACUUUUAUCUUUUAUGUUAAAUAUAUUUAAUAAUUUUAUGUAAUUAAAAUUUUAAUAAUUAAUAAUAUAAUAAAAUAUUUUAAAGAAAUAAUAAAUUUUAACUUUCAUUACCCCAUUGGAUUAAGAGUGAAAAAGUCCUCAAACAUUUUCAAGAAAAGCAAUUAAGCCUCUUUUUUUUUUUUUUGAUUAAUUGAAUACUUGAACUGCCAAAACUCAGUGAAAUAGCCCAUUGACUGAUGUUGACCAUUAAUUUUUAAUGGUCAAAGAUGAUAUGGCUAUUAAAUUUAAUUCUUUUGUUUCACUUUUGCCAACUAAGACGUUACCUUAGAUGCCACGUGCACUAUUGAUGACAUCGUCAUUUUUUGUUCAUGAUGUGGCUUUUUUAUUUGUUAUUAUAAUUAAAUUAAUUUAAUUAAUUUUAUGUACAAUUUUUAUAAUAAGUUGAAAAAAAAUAGAAAUCCUAAUCCUUAAACUUAAUUAUCACAUUUAAUUUUUGAAGAGAAAAAACAAAAAAUAAAAAAUCACCAAAAAAUCUCUCUUGAUCGUCACAAAUGUUGAAAGAAAUUUUGUUUUCCAUUUGAAUCAUUAUUGAAAUCUCAUUUGCCAAGAACCUUUUAUUUUUAUUUUUAUUUUUUGGUUGAAACCUCAUAUUGGAAAUCAAAAUCCUUUUAGUGAAUAAAAAAUUACUUUGCUAAAUCCCUAAAUCUUCAACAAUAUACCCCUAAAUAAAAAAUCCCUUAGCUAAUCAAAAACCAUAUUCUCAAGAACUUUUGUUCAAUUGCAAACCCUAAUAAAAAAACUUUUAUUUUACUCGAAACCCUAAAUUAGACAACCUUAUUUUAAAAAGUCAAAAGCUUUCCUUGAAUUUAAGAACUAAAAUGCACAAUUUCAAUGCUUUAAAGGCUAAUUGAGACAUUAAGUAGGUAAGUUUUUUGUGAAAUUUCUAGAUUGAAUUUUUUUAUUUGGGUUUUUGACUAGUUUCUUUAUAAUAAGAAAAAAACUUUUUCUUGACAUGCUUUCUAGGUUGAAAAAGGAAGAGGCUUAUUGUAAAAAUUUUGACGAAAGGCUCAUGUUUUGGGUGGCUAGGUAAGCAACAACUAUUAGGUCCAAUUUUUAAUUUUGCAUUGGAAUCUAUUUGGUGCAAUAGAAUAGUAUAUAGUAAAAAAAUAAUCUAUUUGAGCGCAUUUGUCAGGAUCUAGAUUCCCUUUCAUAAACAACAAUAAAUAUAAAAGUCAACACAAUACUGACAUAACAUUUUCUCUCCCAUUUUUCUUGUUAUUGUUAGGUUUUAUUAUAUAGUUAUCUUUGCUGUAUGUCUGUCAAAAAAAUUAAAUAAAGUUAAUACAGUACUGACAAUAAACAUAACAAUGAUUUUGUCUUUUGUGUAUGUAUGUUAAAUAUAAUUAAUCUUGUUUAUUGUUUAUUUAUUGGUUUUUACUAUAAUAUAUCUGUUAGAAUGUUAUGUGAAUACAAUCUGUAUGUUUGUUUGUAUGACAUCAUUUAUAUAUUUAUAUAUGUGAUGUCCACAAAAUUAAUUAAAAAUUCGAGUAAUGCAAGUGCACUUAUCAAUUAAUAGUAUAGCUACGGUGAGCAAAAUUAAUUAAAAAUUCGAGUAAUGCAAGUGCACUUAUCAAUUAAUAGUAUAGCUACGGUGAGCAAAUGUAUCGUUCCCAUGAAGACUAAAAGUAUUAUAAUUACCGUCUUUCUAUUAUUUAAUUGAAUAAUUCGAGUGAUCAAUUAAAAACUAAACUUAACUAAAUUAAUUAACUAACAAACACGACAAAGAAAACAUCCAAUAGACAAUAUAAUUGAAAGAAAUAAAGAAACUCAUGAUAAUCUCCUAAGAAAUCAACCGAGAAUCUUAUAUAUUAACGAAAAUCUACUUCAGAAUUAGUUUCAAUGGUUUUUUCAAGUUAUUUUCUUGAAUAUUCUAUGACGGUUCUCUCACAUCUUCUUGUUUUUAUCAUAUAUACAUCUUAGAAUGCGCGAAAAACCUAAAAAUCAUGAUUUCUACUGUUCAAAGUGCAAAUUUACGCAAUCUACACGACCGUGUUGUAACACCCUUAACCUGUAUCCGUUGCUAGAAUAGGGGUACGAGGCAUCACUGGAUAAGACACAUCAUUCAUAUACAUUAUUGCAAUCAUAAUCAAAAUCCAUUCAUCUCAAUCAUAUUGUCCCUUCUAAGGUCUUACGAGACCUUAAAACAUGCUUAGAAAAGGUUCAGGACUACACCGAUAACAUUUGCAAACUUUGGGAAACAUAGAAAACUUUCAAACAUUUAAAAGUCACACGCCCGUAUGAACAGGCCGUGUGCCUUACACGGCUACCAGACACGCCCAUGUCACAGGCUGUGUGAAAACAGAGCAUACAUACUAACUUGCACCACACGGCCGAGGACAUGCUCAUGUGCCAUGGCUAUGUGGAAAAUAGGGAGGUUACUGACUUGGCCACACGGUCGACCACAGUCCGUGUGUCAAACCUGUGUACCUUUCGAAAUGGUUACACACGCCUAUGUGCCAAGGCUGUGUGUCUCACACCGUCAAUAGACACACCAGUGCGUCUAGGCCGUGUCAAAAUUGUAGGGUAUACUGCCUUAAUUCGAAAGGGUACCCCAGGGGACAAACGGCCGUGUAACAUGACUGUGUGUCACACAUGGCUGAGACACACGCCUGUGUCUCAGCCUGUGUGGACAAAAAUAGGCUAUUUGCAAAGCCAAUUUUUCCAUCAUCAUCUCAUACACAGUGUAACACCCUCUAACCUUAAACCGUCGCUGAAACAGGGUUACGAGGUAUUACCGGAUAAUCAGACAAUUUACGAUUAAUAUUCAAAUAAUUAUCGAACAUAUUAUAAUAUAAUCAUAAUAUAUUAUAAUAUUAUAAUAUUAUAACUGAAGCAGAUAGUUGUAAAAGAUUUCUAUGAGGCUUGCGAGACGAGAUCAAUGUACAGUUAGUAUCUCACCGUAUUAUUGAGUUUGUGGAUUUGAUUGAGUGAGCCAAAAUGGAAGAGCAAGUGUUGGGUCUCGACAAAAAGACUGAAAGUGUCAGAUUAACCGGGAAACGUGCAGGAACUACCAGCUCAAAUCCGCAGCCAAAAAGAUCAAAGGAAUCUCAAGAUGGAUGGAGAUCCAGUUUUAGAUCUGAUAGAGGCGGUAGAAGCAGAGGAAGACAGACAACAGUAUCUACUAGCAGUGUGAGAAGCCCCUUUUAGGAAAUAGAAAUUCCAAACUGUCAGAACUGUAGAAAGAAACAUAGAGGGGAAUGCUGGAAAUUAACUAGAGGCUGCUUCAGAUGUGGUUCUACUGAUCAUUUCAUUAGAGACUGCCCGAAAACUGAUAGUGCUGCACCAGUAACAACACAGAGACCAGUAUCUACAACUAGAGGCAGGGGAUCUGGUAGAGGUAGUUCGGCUUCUAGAGGAGGAGGUAUUAGGAGGAGCAGUGAUAUUGUUACCUAGCAGUCUGAGGCUAAAGUACCAGCUAGAGCUUAUGUGGUCAGAACUCGUAAAGAAGGCGAUGCUCAUGAUGUGGUAACAGGUAUAUUUCUAUUAUAUUCUGAGCCUGUUCAUGCUUUAAUUGAUCCUGGAUCUUCGCAUUCAUAUAUUAAUUCAAAAUUAGUUUAGUCAAGAAAAUUAAAAUUCGAAAUGUCUAGAGUGUCUAUUGAGGUGUCGAGCCCAUUGGGGGAAAUAGUGUUAGUGAACCAGGUUUGUCCAAGAUGCCCGUUGAUUAUACAGAAUAAAAAUUUUCUAGCUUACUUGUUGAUUAUGCCAUUUGGGGAUUUUGAUAUAAUACUGGGGAUGGAUUGGUUAUCUAAACAUUGAGUGAUUUUGGACUGCUACAAAAAGAGAUUCAGUAUUCAGACAGAGAGUGAAGAUUUGGUUGAAGUAAAUGGUAUUCGUACUAGUUGGCUAGCACAAAUUAUUUCAGCAAUAAAGGCUAGUAACUUACUUCAGCAGGGUUGUUCAACAUAUUUGGCAUAUGUUGUUAAUUCAAAUUCUGUUGGAAGCCAGUGUGGUAAAAUUUGGACAGUUUGUGAGUUUCCUAAUGUAUUUCCUGAAGAACUACCGGGCUUACCGCCAGAUAGAGAAGUUGAAUUUACUAUAGAGGUUUAUCCGGGUACGGCUCCAAUAUCUAUACCUCCAUAUCGAAUGUCACCUACAGAGUUGAAAGAGCUGAAGAUACAGUUGUAGGACUUAUUAGAUCGUGGUUUUAUUUGACCGAGCAUAUCAACAUGGGGAGCUCCAGUGUUAUUUGUUAAGAAGAAAGAUGGAUCAAUGCGGUUUUGUAUUGAUUAUCGACAAUUGAACAAGGUAACCAUUAAAAAUAAAUAUCCAUUACCUCGUAUUGACGAUUUGUUUGAUCAGUUGAAAGAAGCUUCUGUAUUCUCGAAGAUUGACUUAAGGUUAGGUUACUAUCAGUUGAAGGUAAAAGAAAGUGAUGUACCAAAGACAGCUUUCCGUACGAGGUAUGGCCACUAUGAGUUCUUAGUAAUGCCAUUCGGGUUGACAAAUGCUCCAGCUGCUUUUAUGGAUCUCAUGAAUCGUAUCUUUCAACCGUAUUUAGAUCAGUUUGUAUUAGUUUUUAUUGAUGAUAUACUGGUUUAUUCGAAGUCAGAGUCAGAGCAUGAUCAGCAUCUCAGUAUUGUACUACAGAUAUUACGGGAAAAAAAAUUGUAUGGAAAGCUCAAAAAAUGUGAAUUUUGGUUGUCAGAGGAUGUAUUUCUGGGACAUGUAGUAUCUACAGAUGGAAUCCAAGUUGAUCCAAAGAAGAUUGAAGCGAUUGUACAGUGGAAACCACCAAGAAAUGUAUCAGAGGUAUAUAGUUUUCUUGGUUUAGCUGGGUAUUAUAGAAGAUUUGUAAAUAGAUUUUUGAAGAUAGCUUUGCCAAUGACCAAGCUGCUACAAAAGAAUGUACCGUUUGUGUGGGAUGAUCAAUGCCAAGAAAGUUUUGAAAAGUUGAAGCAAAUAUUAACAGAGGCAUCAGUUCUGACAUUACCAGAGUCGAGGAAAGAUUUUGUAGUGUAUAGUGAUACUUCUUUGAGUGGUCUGGGUUGUGUACUAAUGCAGGAUGGAAAAGUAAUAGCCUAUGCAUCUCGUCAAUUAAAGCCACACAAAUGUAACUAUCCGACUCAUGAUUUGGAACUAGCAGCAGUGAUUUUUGCUCUGAAGAUUUGGAGACAUUAUUUGUACAGUGAGAAAUGCUACAUCUAUACCGAUCAUAAAAGUUUGAAAUAUCUACUCUCUCAAAAAGAAUUGAACUUGAGACAAAGAUGGUGGAUAGAGCUCCUAAAAGAUUAUGACUAUGUUAUAGAUUACCAUCCGAGAAAAGCUAAUGUUGUAGCUGAUGCACUAAGUAGAAAAGCUGCAAUUGAAUUAAGAACAAUGUUUGCACAGCUCAGUAUCAGUGAUGAUGGGAGUCUUUUGGCCGAGUUGAGAGUAAAGCCGGUAAUGUUUGAUCAGAUCAGAUCAGCACAGUUGAAAGAUGAUAAGUUGUUGAAAAAGAGAGAGAUGGUACAAAAUGGUACUGCAGAAAACUUUAAUGUUGAUGAUCAUAGUUGUUUGAGAUUUCGAAAUCAGAUUUGUAUUCCAGCUACUUCUGAGCUUAAAGAGUUAAUUUUUUGAGAAGCUCACGAUAGUUCAUUUGCAUUACACCCCAGAGGUACGAGGAUGUAUCGUGAUUUACGAGAAUUAUAUUGGUGGCCUGAAAUGAAAAGGGACAUAGUUGAAUAUGUUAGUAAAUGUUUGACAUGUCAGCGAGUAAAAGUGAAACAUCAGGUUUCUACUGGACUACUUUAGCCUAUUAAUAUUCCCGAAUGGAAAUGGGAUCGUAUCACGAUGGAUUUUGUUACGGGAUUGCCACUGUUAGCGAGUAAAAAAAUGCCAUUUGGGUAAUUUUUGAUCGGCUUACAAAAUCAGCUCACUUUAUAGCAGUCAGAACAGAGUGGUCAUUGCAGAAGCUUACAAAAGUGUAUUCGAGAAAUUGUUAGAUUACACGGUAUUCCGGUGUCAAUAAUUUUGGAUCGAGAUCCUCGGUUCACAUCGAGAUUUUGGAGAUAGCUACAUGAAUCAUUAGGUACUCGACUUAACUUUAGUACGGCCUUUCAUCUGCAAACAGAUGGACAGUCUGAACGGGUAAUUCAGAUAUUAGAAGAUAUGCUUUACGCCUGUAUCAUUGAUUUUGAAUCAGGUUGGGAACGUUAUUUGCCAUUAGCUGAAUUUGUCUACAAUAAUUGUUUUCAAUCUAGUAUACAAAUGGCCUCGUAUGAAGCACUAUAUGGUCGAAGGUGUAGAUCACCGGUAUGUUGGACAAAAUUGAAUGAAAGAAAAGUGAUUGGGCCGGAAUUGAUUCAAGAAACAGAGGAAACAGUUAAAAAGAUCAAAGAUAGAUUGAAGACAGCUUUUGACAGACAAAAGUCUUAUGCUGAUUUAAAAUGACGAGACAUUGAAUAUUCAGUCGGGGACAAGGUAUUUCUUAAAGUUUCUUCAUGGAAGAAAGUCUUGAGAUUUGGUCGGAAAGGUAAAUUGAGUCCACGUUUUAUUAGGCCGUAUGAAAUAGUGGAAAGAAUUGGACUGGUUGCCUACUGAUUAGCUUUGCCUUCAGAGUUACAGAAAAUUCACGAUGUUUUCUAUGUUUCUAUGCUUCGGAGAUAUAGGUCGGAUCCUUCAUAUAUCAUUCCCACUGAAGACAUUGAACUUCGGUCGGAUCUGUCUUAUGAAGAAAAGCCAGUGCAAAUAUUAGCUAGAGAAGUAAAGAAGUUGAGAAACAAACGGGUUCCUUUAGUAAAAGUGUUAUGGAGAAAUCACAAUGUGGAAGAAGCAACUUGGGAACUAGAAGAAACAAUGAGAGCUCAAUAUUCUCAUCUCUUCUCAGGGAAAUUUCGAGGAAGAAAUUUAUUAAGGGGAGAGGAAAUGUAAUGACCCAAAAUUCACGAGCAUCAGAAAAGUGCAAUAUCGGGCCUCUAUCUUAGUAAAUCGAGUUAAAAAAUAAUUAUUAGAAAUAUUUAUGAGUCUAGUGAUGUGUUUAAUUAGGUUUAAAUUAGGUGAAUUUAGCUUAAUUAAGAAUAAUUAGGAAAAAGGACUAAAUGGAAUAAGGUGUAAAAGUUUAAUUAUAAAGUAAAAGAAAAUAAGAGGGACUAAAUAGGUAAAUAAGCAAAUGGCUUAAUAUGAAGUGGUAAUACAUGGGAAAAUCUUAGAUUUUUCUUGAUUUAUAUUAUAAAAAUAUUAUUUAAUUAAAACAUUAUAAAUUAUAUUAAUUAAAAUUAAGAUAUUAUAUUAAAGGAAAUAAAUAAAAUAAAGACAAUUGUAUGGUAAUAAAAUAUACAUGUGUAAUAAUCAUAUUUGUACAAUUGUAAGUUAAAUACUUAAAUACUUUUUAUUUAGGUAAAAAGAUAUUUAUUAGAUAAAAUAAUUAAAUUGUGAGAUUUUUUGUAAUAGUGACGUUUGUAAUAAUGUGAAUAUAUACAUUUGUAUUAUAUUUAUUUAUUUACUUGAAAAUUAAGUAAAAGAUAAUUACUAAUUAAAUAAUUAUAUUAGGAGAUUUUUUUAUUAGUAAAUAAAUUGAAAGUAUGACAAUUGUAUGGUAUUGAUAUUGUACAAAUGUAUAAAAAUAUAUGUGUACAGUUACAGUAUUUGUACUUGUUAUUAAAAUAAAUUAUAAUUUAUAUUAAUUAUAUUAUAAGAUUUUUGUAUGAUAAAUAAAUAAAAGAAAGACAAAUGGAUGGUUAUGAUAAUAUACAAAUGUAAAAAUAUUUAUGAGUGUACAUUUGUAAUAUAUGUAUUUGUGUAUUAAAUAGAUAUUUAUUAUUAUUAUUUAAUUAAUUGAUAUUAUAUUAUUAUAUUAAUGAAUAAAUUAAUAGAUUGACAAAUGUAAGGUGAUAGUAAAAUACAAGUGUAAUAAAUCAUAGACAUACUAUUGUAAUAUAUUUAUUUACUUAUUAUUUAAGAAAUAAUAAUAUUUAUUAAGUUAAUAUAAUAAAAUAAUAAACAAAAGUAAAAUAAAAAAAUAAACAAAGCAAAAGAAACAGAAAAGAAACAGAGAACAUUCGAACAAGGGAAGGAAAGAAACAAAAAGAAAAGAAAAAGAAAAAAACUAGGGUUUUAAGGUUUGAAGCUUUAAAAGGUAAGUCAAUUAAGUCAUUUUCUCUUAAUUUUGAUGUUUUAGAAGCUUUAGAACAAAGUUUUGUUGAAAUUAAGUUGAAGUUUUGAACGUUCUUAGGUUUUUGAACAUAGUUCAUGUUGAAUAAAAUAAUGAAUUAGGGGUUUAAUUGAAUGAAUUUCAAGUUAGAAUUGAUUAAAGAAUUAAAUUGUAAACUAGGCUAUAAGUUUUGUGUUGUAGGGAAUAAAUUGAAAGAAGUUUUAAAUUAGGGUUUUAUUAUGAACAUUAGAUAGUUAAGUGGAAUAUGGAAGGAAAUUGAAUAGAAAUAAAGUAUGAAUUGAGUUAGAAAAGUAAAUGAGUUAAUUAGGAUUAAAUUGGAAUUACGGUAUAAAUUGGAUAAAAAUUCAGUUAUUAUUAUUAAUUAAUGCUGUAAUUAAUAGUGUAAAUUAUUAUUAUUUUCGUAGAUAACAAAGAACCCGAGGCAUUGGCACAAAAAGGAAAGGAGAAAGUUAUCGAGGAGUAAUCGCGAAAUUCGGGUUUGUAUUACUAUAAUUCAAGUUAUUUAUUAUUAAGUAUUAAUUUUAAAAUUUAUUUAUUCUAUAGUAAGUAAAUAUUGAGGUAAGUAAUUUUAUUGAAUUGAAUUUAGAAAAUUGAAUUGAAUGAGAAAUACGUGUUAGUAUUACUAUAAUUCGAAUUUAAUUAUUAUUAAUUGUUGAAUUUUAAGUUGAUAUGCAUGGUAAGUAUUAGUAUUGAAUUGUAUGAAAUUAAAUUGAAUUGUGAUUAUAUGUAAAUAAUUGAAAUAUAUAUUGAAUUGAGAAAGUGUAUUGAACUAUGAAUAUGUGAAUUAAAAAUUUGUUUGAAAAGUGGAAAAUGAUUGAAUUGAAAAUAUGAGAAAUUGUAACUGAAUUGAGAUUUAUAUGUGAUCUGGAAACCUUAUUAACUAGUCGGGUUGAGUCGGAUAUAGUUGGCAUGCCAUAGGAUUGGAAGUGCUCAGGGAUACUUCAACCUCAAUGAGACACUGGGUGUCAUACUGUUACUUCGGAUAGAUUCGAUGAGGUACUGGGUGCCACUUUACUUCGGCUAGGCCAAUGAGACACUGUGUGUCAACUUUGUUUCGAACUAUCCGAUGAGGCACUGAGUGCCAAACUGGUGUGUUUGGUUGGAUCCAUGUAUCCGCCAAAGUCCGAGUCUGUUAAUAGGGCUAAUUAAAAGAAAAGUUAAGUUGAAUAAAAAGGAAUUGGUUGAAACAUUAAAAGAAAUGUUAAAAUGGAACAUGAAUUGAAAAUGUGAUUUGAAUAUGAGAAUGGAAAGCAUAAACCAAUGGUUCAUGAAUUAGAUAAUGGUUCAACAUGAAUGUAUAUGAUUUUAAUUGAUGAAUAACUAAAUUAAAUUGUAUGAAUAUAUUGAGAAUGAAAAAUUUAUGUUUAAAUUGAUUUAGUAAAUAUUAAAGUUAUAUGAAUUAAUUUAUAUGAUUAUUAUCUUUAUAAUUUGAAUUAUGGUAAUACCACUGUGUAUGAAGUACUCAGCAUACGGUUGUUUCCGUGCGCAGGUUAAUAGGUAUUCAGAGUCUCAGUUUAACAUCCAGGCGAUCCCGACUCUAGCACAAAACUCGGUGAUGUAUUUUUCUUUUGGUAAAAGUGGCAUGUACAUUGGUGUUAUUUUAAUUACUUUAAAAUGUUGUAUGAUUUUUGUUGUAAAGAAUGAUAUUUGGCAUUUUGGUGUUUAAACUAAUGAAAUGGUAUGAAAAUUUAUAUGAUAUAUAUAUAGUAUAAUUGAUACUAAAAUGAUAUUUUGAUACUUGGUUUAAUGAAAUGGAAAUAAAAUUAUCAUAACAUAUUCGAUAUAGUUGAUAACAAGUUGAAAUAGAAUGAACGCUUAUUAAAUUAAAAAAUAUAUGCGAAUAUUUACUUAGUAAAUUACUAAGUUGAUGUUAAGCUAUGUUUAGGUGUAUUUAAAUAUGAAAUUGUAUGGAUUAUGAUAUUGGUUUUGAAUUGGUUGCGAUUUGAAUUUGCAGGGAAGGUUAAAUAUUUAUAAAGGGGUUAUAUUAAAUUUUUCUUAAAAAAAAAAGAGUCAAUUAGCAAAAGUUUUAUAUGAACUUAUAAUUAUAUUAGAAUAUGUUCGAUAAUUAUUUGAAUAUUAAUCGUAAAUUUUCCGAUUAUCCGGUAAUGCCUCGUAAUCCUAUUCCGGCGACGGUUUAGGGUUAGAGGGUGUUACACACACCUAGCCAUCAAAUGAUAUCAAUUCGACACUUAUAUAUAAGCAAACAAAUCAUUCCAUUUCACACACAUAACAUACCAUCUAUCAUCAAUCAAUUCAACUACUAAAUUCCAUAUUCAAAACAUACCAUAUCGAUAUACCACAAUCAUCAAUCUCACAUAACUUUUAAAUGAAUUUUCUCACCUUUUUAUCAACCAAAUCAUGUUUCUCAAACAUAUCAAUUCAUCAUCCUCAAAUCAUACCAAAAUAUACCAAAUUCCAAGCAAUAAUACCACAACAUAUAACUAUCCAAAAGAGCAUCCAUACAACCAUUCCAAACAAGCCAACACUUAAGAUAUUAUAUACAUCACAUAUAUCACUUAUCAAACAAAUAAUUCUAGCCAACUUAAAUGGCCAUAUUCUACCAUUUACAAGCCAAAUCUCAUGGCUAUAAUCACAACUCAAAACAUACCAAGAUGAAACUAGCCUAUACAUGCCAUAUACCAUAUUUACAAAGAUUCAAAAGUACCAACGAGAUGAUCGAUAGUGUGAUGACGUUUCCCGAAAAUCCCUGAGUCUGAGCUAGCUUCGAUAAUCUAUAAAACAUGGAAAGAACACACAAAGUAAGCUUUAAAAUCUUAGUAAGCCAUAUAAAAAUAAAGGCAUCACAUGAACAUUUACAUAUCAAUUCAAAUAUACUUAACAUGGCUAAUCUCAUUCAAAUUCACAAACCUUUCUCAUUGAACAUUUAUUUAAUGUCUUAAUCGAGUUCAUCAAAUAUUUCCCCUUUUUAAUACUCGUAUGAAUUUUGUAAGUACCUGAGUCAUUUAGCUCAUUCACAUAUUCUUUCUCGACUAGACUUUUCCCGUUAAACCAUUCGGAAUCAUUAAGUAUACUCGAAAAUCAUGUAAGCUGGUACAAUGCCAUAUCCCAGAUAUGGUCUUAUAUGUUAUCACAUAUCGAUGCCUCUGUCCCAGAUAACGAUGCCAAUGUCCCAGACAUGGUCUUACACGUAUUUACAAUACAAUGCCAAUUCCCAGACAUGGUCUUACACGUAUUCACAAUACAAUGCCAAUGUCCCAGACAUGGUCUUACAUGUAAUCACAUCUCGGUAACCUAAUGUCAUGACAUUUGUAUCCUAUUCUAUUCCUAAGGUUCGUACGAGACUUUCGGAUAUUGUAACUUCGUCGAUUCUUGCUCGUAUUUGCUCAUUCAACAUUCAUAGCAAUUCAAAGAUAAUGAAACAUAUAUAAUUUAAUUCAAAGACAUUUAUUUCCAUAUGAACUUACCUCGUAGUCGAAAUAAAGGGACUGGAUCGACUAUUCGAUAACUUUGGAUUUCUCCCGAUCUAAAUCCGAUUUCUUUCGUUCUUGAUCUAUAUACAUUCAAAAUUAACUCUUUAAUUCAUCAACACAUUCAAUUUAGUCCACAAACACAUAUUUAGGAUUUGCACUUUAGCCCCUAAAGUUCUACAUUUAUUCAAUUUAGUCCCUAUUUCACAAAAAUACAAAUUACACAAAAUUCAAUAUGGCCCAUGCUUAGCUGAAUUCUCUAUAACUUCAUAACAGCCCAUAUUUUCAUUUAUUUCACACUUUUAACCACAAUAUUUCACAUUUUCUCAAUUUAAUCCCUAAUGGAUAUUUCUACUUAAAAUCACUUUACAAAACAUGUAUAUUAAGCAUCAAGCUUUCAUAUUUCAUCAUCAAACAUUCAAAAAACAUGAAUUCAUCAAUGGAAAAUUUCAAAAUCAUCAACACUUUCAAAAAUUGAUGCAUGGGCUAGCUAAUACUCAAAGAAUGAUCACAAAAACAUAGAAAUCAUCAAAAAUCGAGCUCGAAACAUACCUCAAUUAAGCCACACAAGUGCCGAACCCUAAAUGAGCUUCAAGCUUUCUUUCUUUUCUUUAUUUUCGGUUAUGAAUGAUGAAAAUAAAGAUGAUAAUGCUUUUGUUUUAAUUAUUUAAGCUUUAAUUCAUAAAUUACAAAAAUAACCUUUGUUUAAACAUUAAUAAAUCACCUAAUUUAAGGCUAUUUAUGUCCAUCUCCACUAUCAAUGGACUGAUUACAACAUAAGGACCUCACACUUAAUAAACCAUAGCAAUUGAGCACUUUUAACAUAUAGAAUGCCACUUUUGCAUUUUACGCAAUUUAGACUGUAACACCCCUAACCCGUAUCCGUUGCCGGAAUAGAGUUACGAGGCAUUACCAGUCAAUCACAACAUAAAUCAUACAUUUGUGCAAUUAUAGUUAAAAUCUCUUCAUCUCAAUCACUUUGUCCCUUAUAACGUUUUACGAAACCUUAAAACAUGCUUAAAACUGGUUCGGGACUAAACCGAUAACAUUUACAAAGUUUAGGAAGCUUAGAAAAUUUUCUUUGAUUUCAGGGUCACACACCCGUGUGAACAAACCGUGUGCCUCACACAGCCACCAGACACGCCCGUGUCAUAGAUCGUGUAAAAACAGGGCAUACAUACUAACUUGUACCACAUGGCUGAUGACACGCACGUGUGCCAGGCCGUGUGAAAUCUAAGGGGGGUUACUGACUUAGGUCACACGGCCAACCACACACCUAUUUGCCAGCCCGUGUGCUACACACGACCAGUAGACAUGCUCGUGUGUGUAAGCCGUGUCAAAACUGUAGGGUAUACUAACUUUAAUUCGAAGGGUACCCCAAGGGACACACGGCCGUGUAGCAUAGCUGUGUGUCGCACACGGCUGAGACACACCCGUGUCACUGCCCGUGUGGACAAAAAUAGGCCAUUUGCAAAGCCAAUUUGCCACCCUUUUCUCAUGCUCACCUAGUCAUCAAAAUGAUUCCAUUUCAACACAUAUAUAAGCAUCCAAAAACAUGCAAUUCCAUACACAUAACAUGCCAUCUAUCCACAACCAAUUUAUCUAACCAAUUCCACAACCAAAACAUAUCUAGACAAUAUGUCAAUACCAACACUUUCAUUCAUCUCCCUUAUGCAUUUUCUCAUCAUUUUAUCACUUAUUUUAUAUCACAAAAGUUACCAUUUUAACAUCUCAUAAUCAAGUCACAACAUACCACUAUUCUAACCUUAAUUCUCCCAUUUACAACUAAUUAAAAUAACAACCAUAUAACUUUAACAAACAAGUCAACAUAGAAGGCAUUGUAUACAUCACAUAAAUAACUUAUCAAACACAUAACUUAAGUUUACUUAAAUGGCCACAUUCACAUCAACAUUUACAAGCCAAAUCUCAUGGCUAAAAUCAAGUCUCAAAAUAUACCACAAUGACAGUAGCCUAUACAUGCCAUAUACCAUAUUUACAAGCAUCCAAAAAUACGAACAAGUAGUCGAUAGUGUGAUGAUGGUUCCCAAUGAUCCCUGACGUCCGAGCUAGCUUCGAUACUCUAUAAAACAAAGACAAAUAACACACAGUAAGCUUCAUAGCUUAGUAAGUUCGUACCAAAUAUACUCAACAGUUCAUAAUAUACAAAUCAUCAAUUAAUAAACACUUAGUAGUUCUCAUACCAUCAUUCAAUUCUAAUCCAUGACCAUUUAUCAUGUUUAUACAACUUCAUCAAGCUUCAUACAUAUAGUAUCAACUACAACAUAGGUAUCGUACGUACCUGUAGUUUCCCGUAUUUAUUUAUUUCAUUCUCACCUCUUUUUUCAAUACGUUAAAUCGUUUGGAAAUCUUUCAAUACUCUAAGAACUCACACAUUUAGUGCAUAAAUGAUUUGCUGAAGCUAUAACUAUAUCUCACAAUUAGUGCCAUCACAUUAAACCGAAGCUACCUUGGUAUUGCACACUUAGUGCCACAUAUAGCCGAAGCUAUUCCAAUUCGCACACUAAGUGCUUUAUAUAGUCAAAGCUAUUUCGAAACACACGCUAAGUGCCAAAUAUAGUAGAUUUUUCAUCGUACACAGUCAUAGCCGCAUAUAUACAAUUUAUGCAUUAUUAAAACAUUAAAAACAUAAUUAUAACAAUAUUUAUCACGUAGAUUAGUCGAUUAGUCGAGUACUUUGUCUUUGCCUCGAUCUAAGUCCGGGUUCCUCUUUUCUUGAUCUAGAUGUAUUCAAAAUUAACUUAUUCAACCAAAUAUUCAUUCAAUUUUAUCCACAAACACAUAUUUGAGUAUUUUUACACUUUGGCCCUAAACUUUCACAUUUUUUACAAUUUAGUCCCUAUUUCAUAAAUAUACAAAUUCACACAAUUCAAUUUAAACACAUGCUAGCCAAAUUUCAUAGGGACCUCUAGCAGCCCUAAACUUUCAUUUAUUCACACAUUUAACCCUACAUUUUCACAUUUUCACAAAUUAACCCAUUUUAUGCAAUUUCACCAAAAGUCACUUUACAAAACAUGAUAAUCUAUCAACAAAUACUCAUUUUUCAUCAUCAAAAAUUCAAGAACUCAAGCAUUUAUCAAUGAAAACUUUCAAAAUCAUGAACACUUUCAAAAAUUUAAGUAUGGACUAGCUAGAACACGAAGCAACGAUCACAAAAACAUAGAAAUCAUCAAAAAUCGAGCAAAAAUCACUCACCAAUUUGAGCUUAAAGUUGUCAAAACUUCAAAGCCCUAAAUUUGAUAUUCUUUCUUCUUAUUUUCGGUAAGAAAAGAUGAUAAUGAAGCCAAAUUAUUAUUUUUUUUAUUAAUUAUAACUUAAUUAUUAAUUUACCAUUUUAACCUUAAUUAAAAACCAUUAAAUUUCAUGAUAUUAAGCCCAUUUAUGUCCAUUCCCACUAUCCAUGGUCUAAUUACAACAUAAGGAAUUUUCAUUUAAUAAGCCAUGACAAUUAAGCACUUUUAACAAUUAGAAUGCAACUUUUUUAUUUUACGCGAUUUAGUCUUUUUUCUCAAAUUAAGCUAUUAAACGAUAAAAUUAGCUCACGAAAUUUUCACACAUAUAUAUUCACAUGCUGUAAACACCAAAAAUAAUAUAAAAUAAAUUUUCAACCUCAGAUUUAUGGUCCCGAAACCAUUGUUCCGAUUUAACUAAAACCGGAUUGUUACAUAAUCCUUUUUCUCAAAUUGAGCUAUUAAACGAUAAAAUUAACUCACGAAAUUUUCACACAUAUAUAUUCAUAUGCUGUAAACACCAGAAAUAAUAUUAAAAUAAUUUUAUGAUCUCAAUUUUUGGUUUCGAAACCAUAGUUCCGAUUUAGCUAAAACCGGGCUAUUACACGUGUGGAAUGGGUCAACCCAUGUGGCUCCUGUAGUUUGUUCCAAUUUUCUGGUUUUCAUUCGUUUUUCGCUCCUUUUGCUCCCAAGUGCUCUAUUAAGCAUCAAAACAUGAAUUCAAAGGAUUAGGAGCAUAAAAUUCACAAUCAACAUCAAAUAAUUACCCAAAAACGCAUUAAGAAUAAGGUUAAAACAUGUUACUUUUAACAUUCAUUAAAUAUCCCCACAGUUAAGCGCUUGCUUGUCUUUAAGAAAAAUUCUCAACCGGCAUUCAAGUUAACUGCCCUCAAUUUAUUAUUUUCACCAAUAAUGUAAUAGGAUAAUCUACAAAUAAUACUGCAUUGGAAAUUCACACUAAAAUAGCACUAAAGAAUACAAGCAAUCCAAGCAGAUUUUUUUAAGGCUUAAAAACAUUAGGCAUCUCCCCUAUCUCAAUAAUUACCUAGAAUUCAAACUCAACAAGAAAUAAUAUUAUCACUAAAGAUUCACUCAAAGCAUUCAAAGUGUUUAAGUUUUAAGUAAUAUGCACUCAAUAGUCGAACAAGAAAUGUUAUUACCAUAAGCUUGCUUGAAAAUCAAAUCUCCACCACUAUAUAAAUGAGAUGACACAUCAAUCAAGAGGUCGUUACAAGGUUGUAAUGGGGCUUAGGUUUAGAGUAUGGAUAAGGAUAGAAAAGUUGGUUACAAUCGAGAAUCGAGUUGAUAAGUUACCAAACUAGAAAAGAAAUUCAGUUGCUGAAUUAUAAGAAUUUACAUUAACAAUUCAACAAUUGAAAUGAUGAAGCAUAGUUAGGCAACUGACCAAAUCAAAUCUUGACAAAAAGGGAGUCAGUAAAAAUGAUAAUUUUACAACAUAUAUAUGGGUUAGGGGUUAACAUAAAUAGGUGAGAAAAAAAUGUGUUAGGAUCAACGAGGUUUACUAGAGGCUAAUUCAACAGGUAAGCUAGUUAAAUGUUAAGUGGGUUAAAUCCUACAUGCCUAAAUCAUCUCUGUAUAUCAAAUUAAUAAUGAGGUCUCAACAUGUAUAACUGAAGCAAGUUGUAGAAUAACAAAUUAAGUUGACAUACUCACAACUAAAAAUAAAAUGAGCACAAAAUAGAAUAUAUGCUCUAAAGCUCAAAAUCUUACAAAAAAAUUAUGGUUUUGAUGUCAAAUUUGUAAAUUUAAAAUUUCAAGAUAAUGCUUCAGUUCAAGAAGACAGCUUAAAAUAAUAAUUUCUAAAAAACUACUUAUCAUGCUUGAUUCUCUCGUGACUUCAAGUAUAAAUCACACAAUGCACAAAAAUACAUAAAUUAAUCCCAAAACAGAAUUGCUAAAAACUCCAAAUUUAGAAAAAUCAACUCUAAUGGUAGGUGUGAGAAAAUUACUUAAACCCAAACAACAAUUUAAGGACUAUAUCACAUAACAUAUAAAAUCCUCCCCACACUUAAGAUGUAUAUUACCCUCAAUGUACAGACAAAUAUAAUCACAGAAUAAACACAAUAUCAUAAGGGAGGGAAAGAACUAAAACUCCCCUGAAUUUGGAUGAUUUCGUUGGAAUAGUGAAAUUCAGAAUCGUAGGAGAUUUUAAAUGAACUACAUGUUCCAUGCACACUAAUAAUAAGAUAGAAAAAAAUAAGAUAAAGAGAUAACAAAAUAGAAAAAUAACCUACAAAAUAAUAAAAAUAAAGUUUAAAAUAAAAAUAAAACAAAACAUAUAAGUAUCAAAAAUAAAAUAAAAACAACUAAAAUAAUAAUAACAGUGUAACUAAAAAUAAAAAUAAAUAAAACUGAAAACUAAAUAAAGUCAAUGAUCAGUAUCGUGCGAGGUGUCAAGGUCACGAGGCUCAGAAUCAAGUGGAGAAAUAUGGAAAUGCUGGCACAUCCGUUGUAGGUAUGCUUCAAGGUGAUCAUGAUGGUUUUGAAGCUGGCUAAAUUGCUCCAAAUGUAACUGCUCGAGGCGAUCUAUCCGCUCUAUAUUUCAUUGCUCAAGGUGGUCAAUCCGAUCAGAGUGUUGUUGUUAUAUACGAUAGAUGUCGUUGAGUGUGAUCGAAUGUGCAACAGUGGAGUGACUAGAAGGAGGGGAGGAUUGAGUAGGGUUCGUAAGUUGAGGAGGACCAUCAUCCAUGAGCUUUUCAUGUUCAUCCUAAGGGUCCCGAUGAAACAGUGAAUAUUAGUGGGGACCCGCUCUGUGUUAACAUUGUAUCAUCCUCACGUGGCUCAUCAUAGAUAAUCCUUGGGGGAUCAUCUGUCCAAACAAGGUGAAUGAAGAAAUCUACUCUAGAAUGUCAAGUAACCCAAAGUACCUCGCCAGUCGAGUUACAUAAGGAUCUAUACAGAUAGGGCCCUUCUUGCUCCAAUCAGACUAGUGCCAACAACAUAGAGCCACGAAAUAAGAGACAACAAUAGGAUGACGCGUCUCUAUACUCUACAGAAAAUAAGCCUUCGAUGUACUAACAACCCCUGUGUUUUCCCUCCGACCAGUCAAUGUAUGGGCCUAAAUGACAUGAAUAUAGCACAAGGUUGGAGGUAAACAAGUCGCUUUUGACUGGCUCGAGUUGUACAGUACCUCAAUCUCGGCGAUCUCAAACCAACAGAAUAGAGCUGGUCAAUGGAUGUGUUUGGCAGUGUUGAAAACUCAGGGUUACGCAUGAACUCCUUGGAAUAAAUUCCAAGAGCGGCUCUGAAGCCUGGGAUGCUCAAAUAACGUGUCUUACCCCCAAGUUUGAAAGAAAUGGUAUAAGGCUUAUCUUAAUGUGAAAUUGUCAUGUAACGCCCCUAACCUGAAUCCAUCAUCGGAAUAGAGUUACGAAGCAUUACCGGCGUUACUGAUUUAUUUAUCAGAUAUUUUAUUUCAUCUAACGUACAUAUUUGGAACCAAUUAAAAUCAAACAUAUUGUCCCUUAAACGUACUUAUUUUUCUUGACAUGUUUUACUUGAAUUUAUUACUCGUCUCAAUAUACUUAAUUUCCUUGUAUCAACGUAUCAAAGAUAAUCACAUAUUUACAUGUCAUGAUAAAUAUCAUUCUCUUGCCAUUUCUUCAUAAACAUAAAUCAGGUAAUUCAUUAUAUCAAUAUUUCAUGCAUUUAAAAAUACAAUUCAAGUUACACUAACUUACCUUGUUACUUGUUCAUGUUUAUAACUUCAUUAAUCCGAUAUCUUUUCUUUUCCACGUUCAAGUUUCGUAUUCGAGUCAUCCGGAUCUUUAUAAAUAAAUUUGAUCGUCGUUUUCAUUUAUUUCAUGUUUUAAUACAUUCAAUUAAUGCUCUAAACAAAAUUACUAUUUUACCCUUAAACUUUUAAUUAAUGACGAUUUCAUUCUUAGGCUCAAAAUUUUUUUUUCUUGUAAUUUAAUCCUUAUUUCCAGCCUUAUUCGCAUACAAAUUGAUAACAACCCAUGAAUUCUAUAAAAUAUAAGAAUUUUACAUAAUUUCAACACUUUUCAAUUUAAUCCUUAAAACAUGUUUUUCCCUGAUCUUAAACUAAAUUAACAUGUUUUUCCCCGAUCUUGAACUAAAUUAAUAAUUUCAUUAUAUUUUUCAAUUUUAAAUAAUAAAAUAAUCCAUUUCAUGCAAAUUGGUCAUUUCUAACAUUUUUACAAAAUUGCCCAUAAAGUUUUACUUUUAUUCAAUUUAGUCCCUGAGCCUAAAACAUGCAAAUUAGUCAUGCUAGUUGAAUAUUCAUACAUAUUUUCCUCCUCCUCCUCCUCUCCAUUCCACAUCCUUAAUUUAUAUAACGUGCUAUAAAUAACAUUAUCAAUAAUUUCACUAUUUACUUAUAUAUAUUCAAAACUGUCCAUUUGAGUCAUAGUCACUAAAUAUUUAUAUCUUGAGCUACAGAACUCAAAAUUAAGAUAUGAUAAUUUUCCAUAAAAAUAGACUUACAUAUAUUCUUACCAUAAAAGUUUCAUAAUUUUUGGUUUAGCCAAUAAGUAUAGUUUAUUCUUUAAAGUCACCUCUAUUCUGCUGCCUGACAGUUUUGACCCUUCUUUACUGAAAAUAAAUUAUCUCCUCGUACAGGAUUCAAAUGAUGUUUCUGUUUGUUUCUAUUGAAAAUAGACUCAUUCAGGAUUCUAAACAUAUAAAUUUAAGCCCCUAAUUAUUUUUAUCAAAUUUUUUAUGAUUUUCAAAAGUUAGAACAGGGGAACCCGAAAUCAUUCUAACCUUGUCUCAUAAAAUUUAUUAUAUCUCACAAUUUACAAUUUCAUUGCUUACAUUGUUUCUUCUAUGAAAAACUAGACUCAGUAGCCUUUAAUUUCAAAUUUUAUUAAACUAUAAUUCAAUUUCUAAAAUUUUUGGUGAUUUUCCAAAGUUUGACUACUGCUGCUAUUUAAGACUAUUUUAGUGCAACAUAUUGAUUACCAAGUUUAUAACACCCUUAUUUCCAUUCUCUACCAUAUUUCCCAACAUUUUCUCUUAUUUCCCCUCACUAAUAUAUCAAGAGCGUAGAACCUUAUAUAAGAAAACUCUACCUUAACAUCAUUUUCAUGCUUUGAUAUUACCUUACAUGAGAAACUCUACUUAGAAUAUAUUGAAAUCUUAAAGUUCUUACCUUGUUCUAUUGAUUUCAAUCUUUAACUUGAUUUUUCUCUCUCCUCCAGCUUCUGUUUCUUAAAUCCAACUUGAUAUUCUAACUCCCCUUAGUCUUCUUAACUUUUUUCUCUCUUGGUAGCUAUGGAAAGUCUUUUGAUUUCUAGGUGAAAAUGGUGAAUUUUUGGUGGAAGGACUAAAUUGUAAAGAAAGGAAAGUUUCUUCUUCUCUUUUCUUUCGAACGUGGGAUGCAUGGAAAUGGAUGGUGUUGUUUCCUCUCUUCUUUUUUUUCUUUCCACACACACACAUAUACAUACUAAAUAAAAUAAUAAAAUAAUAAAAAAUAUCUUAUUAAAUAUUAAUAAAAUUAUGUUUUUUCUAAUUAAAUAAUUAUAAAAUAUCGUCAACAUCAUCAUUACUUUCUAGAUUUCUCUCUUUUCCAAUUGACCAUUUUUCCCUUUGUGAUCUUUUAAAAUUCCAUUAUUGAGUCAUUACUUAAUUUGGUAAAAUUAUAAUUUAGUCCCUCAUAAUUCUUCACCUAUUCAAUUUGGUCCUAAUUCAUCAAUUUUCCUUAGUUUCUAGAUCAUUCCACCCUUAAAAUAUUUACACUAUUAGUCCUGUAACUUUUUCGUAUUUACACUUUAAUCCCUCAAAUUUUGAGUAUUUCCUCUUAGGCCACAAAAAUUUUCUCACUUUUACAAUUUAGUCCUUUCUUGAAUCAAUAUGUCAUAAUAUACUUCCCAGUGACAUAACUCAAUUUUCCUCUUCUUGUCACUUUAUUUCCUUCUUUUACUGCAUUAAGGAUAAUAUCUUACUGUAGAAAUUUUCAAGGUGUUACACAUCAGUUGUAGAAAGAACGUCAAGCAGAACUCUAUUGUGAUUCUGCAUAUAUGGGCUCCACAAUGGUUAAAAAUCGAUCCCACGGUACCCUAUUGAUCAGAACUCGAAUUCCGAUAGCUAAAUGGACUGUCUACAAGGCUUUCUAAUCAAUGCAACGACCUAACCCCAAAGUCGCUCCCUAAGAUGUUGAUAAUGGUCCUCAUGUGGACUCGAAAGGAAUUGGAGACACGAAUGUCUCAUUGCUGUAGUCUAGGCUAAAGAUGAAGUGGCACUCGGUGUCUUUCAUUGUUUAGAGGUGAGGACAACAUUCUUGGUUUUACCUCUAGUGUUUGCCAUUAUGUAUCUUAAAUAAAAUAUAACAACCAAAUAUCAUAUAACCAAAUGAAUCAACACCACCACUAAUUUAGCAGAUAACAAAAGUUAGAUCAAAUAACUAGAAGAACUGACAAACAUAUCAUCUCAUGAUAAAAGCUGAAUCACAUAACUAAUAUAACUAACAUCUAAUCCUCAUACGAAAACGAAAACUAAUACUUAGCAGACAAAAAAAUAACUGAACUAAACUAAUUAUUUAACACUAAUAUUAGGAAUAUUAAUACUACUACUAAUAAUAAAAUAACAAAUAAUAAAUAAAACAAAAAGAAUAUGAACAGUGACAAACAGUGGUUUGGGCAGACGGCGGCGGUAAUAGCUCGUACGAUAGUAAUGGAAAGAACGAUAGAUGGUGAAAAAUGGGUAGAUUGGAUGGUGGUGGAUGUGUGUGAUGGGGUGAGAAUAGUGGUCAAUUAGGAGAGAUGAGGGACGGAGGAGGAAAGGAAAGAGGGAAAAUAAGGACGGCAUCGUGGAGAGGAGGAAUGGGAAAAAGGGAAGGAGAUGAGGGAUUUGACGAGUUUGUGAAGGAAAAGAGAAGGUUAAGUGAGUAGGAAAGGAGAAUGGUUGGGGAAGAAGGGUUGAGGAGACUAGAAAAUGGGGUGUCUAUAGUGUUCGAUUUUUAAACAAGAAAAAUUUAAAGAAAGGACAUGGAAGGAGAAAGCUUGAUAGCGUUGAGAGUAGGGCUUAGAAGAUGAAUGGAUGAGCUACGGAGGCGAUGUGGAUGACGGAUAUGGGGGAAGCAAUCAGCUGUGAUAGAACGACUGGUAGGGUUGAGUGGAAUUGGUAAAAUGAAGUGAAAGGAGAAAAGACAAAAAAUUAAGGUUUUUAGAUUUUAAAGGCAGGCACGGUCGUGUAUUUGGCCUAUGUUGGGCCACACAGUCAUGUCUUAAAACUGUGUAAGUAUACAAAGCCCAUGUGUCAAACGAAUUCUUUAAAAAGUAUUCACACAGCCUGGGACACGCUUGUGUGUCAAGGCUUUGGUUUAUUCCAAAUCAUGUGAUGCUUUCGUUCACUUCUCCCACAGUCAUGUACAUGGGCAUGUGGGUCACACAGCCAUGUCAGCAGGCUGUGUUUGUCACGAAUUUUUUAAAAAAAAAAUUCUUUAAUAGUCACAUGGCUGUGUCUCCAGGCCGUGUGCAAUCACUUAGGCCUUGUGAGGUAAUUGUUCGCUUCUCCCACAGCCAUGUCAAGGGGUCUAUGGGUCACAUGACUUUGUCUCUAGGCCUUGUAACCCUCUAUGACCCUGUGUGUUAAAAGAAAAUUGAACAAAUUGGCUCCAAUAUUCACACAGCUUGUGACACACUCGUGUAUCUAGGUCGUGUGUGUUAUACGACCGUGUCGUCAAGUUGUAUAGUUUUUCUCAGACUGUGUGGACCAUUUCUUUAAAAAAUAUUAUUUUUAAAUAUUUUCAUUUUUUUAAAUCAACAUUAGGGUUGUCUCUCGAGUAAGCUUGUUUAGAGUCUAAGCUCGAAUUUCCUUUUCACACAUACGAUAAAAUUAGAUUUUUGAGUCGAAGCUCAUUUAUCUCAUUAUCAAUAUUACCACCAAAAUAAAAUUCAAGUCGAUGACCAUUUACCUUAAAUGUAUCGUAAUCAAAGUGUAUUACCUAAAUAGUUUUGUAUGGGAAGACGUUCUACACCACAAAUGGAUUCGACCAUCUGAAUUUAAGUUGUUCAAGGAACAUUCUUAAAUCGAAAUUGUUUAGCAGCAAUUUAUCUCCAACUUUAAGUUGGUUCGUCCUCUUUGAAUGCACACCAAGGUGUUUCUUUGUCACUUCUUUGAACGUUCUUGGUUUCUCAUAAACCUUUGGUCGUCAUUCAUCUAAUUCAUCAAGUUGCACCAUUUGUUCUUCACUUGUCCCUUGAUUUUUAUCAUCUUGAACAAGAUACGAUUGUAACGUGUUUUCAUGGGUGAUUUUCUACAAAGAAUGUUGAGUCGCACGGUUACUAACAUUAUCAGAAUAAUGACUAUCAUCUUGCUUGCUAGAAACUCUCACAAAAUCAUGUGCUUGAAGAGUAACCUCUUCAUCACCUACCUUCAGCACAAGUUUACCAUUAUUCACAUCAAUAACAGUUUUACAAGUAGCUAAAAAGGGUCGACCUAAGAUCAUGGGUACCUUAAUAUCCUCAUCAAUGUCCUAUAUAAAAUCAACAUGAAUAUAAAUUUAUCGACUUUAGCAAUUACAUUUUUAAUAAUGCCUUUAGGAUACCUAAUUGAUUUGUCAACUAAUUAAAUACUCAUCUUAGUGGUUUUUGGUUCCCUGAGACCAAGUUGUUUGAACAUUUUACAAGGUAUCAAAUUUAUACUAGCACCCAAAUCAGCCAAAGCUUUUUUAACAUUUAAGCUACCAAUAAAACAAGGGAUAGUAAAACGCUUUGGAUAUUGAAGCUUGGUAUGUAGUUUUUUCUAGAGAAUAGUCAAAUACUCUUCAUUGAGCUCCACAGUGGACAGUUCGUCUAUUUUCCUUUUAUUUGUUAACAACACCUUUAAAAAUUUUGUAUACUUGGGCACCUACGAACGAGCUUUAACAAAAAGUAAGUUAACAUGCAUUUUUUAAAAAAAAAUUCAAGAAAUUUAACAUAUUGUUCGUUCAUGCAGUCUUUAUUCACUUUUGCUGGAUAUAGAAUUGGCGGUUUGUAUUCUCUAAUUACUGGUUUAUGCUCUUUUUUGUAUUCCUCAACCCCAUCAUUUUUCUCAACAGCUUCCAGAUUCAACUUCUUUUCAGGCUCGACUAACACCUUUCCACUUCGUACAGAGAUUGCAUAGACUUGUUCUUUUAUGUUGGUUUCAAUGUUACUAGGUAAAUUGCCUUAUUGUCUCUCCGAAACCAACUUAACAAGCUAACUAAUCUGAUUCUCGAGUCCUGAAUAGAUGCCUACUGAUUCCUUAAAGUUGUCUCGGUGUUUUAGAAUCUAGUUUCUGACACUAAAAUAAAUUUCAUUAACAUCUAUUCUAGAUUCAACUUUUUUUUUCUUUCUGAUAAGAUUGCUGAAAACCUAGAGGGAGUUGUAACAUUUGAUUUCUUUGACCACCUCAAGAGAAAUUCGUAUGAUUCCUCCAUCCUAUACUAUAAUUAUUAUAGGGGUUAUUCUAAGGUCUAAAAUUAUUACCCAUAAAGUCGACUUGUAAAUGCUCCAUAUUAGAAUAGAAGGGUACACAUUCUGAACUGAUCAUUUCCGCUCCAGUCGCAUCACAUUGCAGCACUGAAUUCAUUUGCUUAGCCAUACUCAAACCAUCAAUUUUCUUACUCAGAGCUUCCACUUGACUCGUUAACAUAGCAACUAUAUUAAAAACACCAGUUGCCUUAGUAGACUUUGUUCUCAUAACUUGCUACUGAUAGUUAUUCGUGCCAUCUCCUCAAUAAAUUCUUGGGCUACCUCAGGUGUCUUAUUAUUCAGUGUUCCACCAGCUGCUAUAUCAAUCAUAUGUCUAGUUGAGGGAUUCAAACCAUUGUAAAAAUUUUGAACUUGGAGCCACAAAGGUAGUCCAUGAUGAGAACACCUUCUCAAAAUAUCCUUAAAUCUCUCUCAUGCAUCAUACAAUGUCUCAAGCUCAAAUUGAGCAAAAGAAGAGAUGCCAUUCCUCAACUUAGCUUUUUGGUCGGUGGAAAAUACUUCUACAGAAACUUUUCAGUCAUCUAAUCCCAAGUUGUGAUGGAACCCCGUAUAAGUGAAUUCAAUCACUAUUUUGCCUUGCUACACAAAGAGAAUGGGAACAAUCAUAAAAGUAUGGCUUCAUCAGUAACAUCAUUGAUCUUGAAUAUGUCGCGGCUCUAGAAAGUUAGCUAAAUGAGCAUUUGGAUCUUCAUCUUGCAACGCAUCAAAUUGAACAUACUGUUGCACCAUUUGAAUUGUAUUUGGCUUAAUCUCAAAAUUAUUUACAGUAAUAGUCGGUCUAACGAUACUUGAUUUAACCCCAAUCAAAGUAGGCUUAGGAUAGUCAUACAUAGUACGAUGAGCAUGAGGUGCAGGAGGUUGCUGAUUACCAGGAUGAUUAUCCAUCUCCACAAUAAUGUCCUUUUGCUCUUAAUUGUCUAUUAAAAUCUACUGACCUUGCCUUGCUUCUCUAACUUUUAUAUGUUUUCUGCAAGUAGGUUUUUCAAUCUCAUUGUAAAAAACUAAUAGUUCCAAUGAGUUGUCUCUAGUCAUAAACCAAAAGAACCUGUAAGAAUUAAACAAAAUUAAAAUUAAAAUGUAACAGUUAAAUUUAAAACAAAAUUAUUAAAAUUAAAAUAACAAAUGACUAAAUUAAUAGAAAUAAAGUUUUCCUAAUAUUAUAGUCCCGGCAACAGCGCCAAAAACUUGAUGUCCACGAAACUAAUUAAAAAUUCAACUAAGGUAAGUGCACCUAUCAAUUAAUAGUAUAGCUACGAUAAGCAAAGAUAUCGUUCCCACAAAGACUAAAAGUACUAGUAAUUAAUAUUUUUUUAUUAUUUAACUGAAUAAUUCAAGUGAUUGAUUAAAAACUAAAAUUAACUAAAUUAAUUAACUAACAAACACAACAAAGAACAAAACACGAAAAUAAUCGAUUAACAACUAAUAAGAAAAAUAACACCCAAGAAAGAAUUCUCUUAGAUUUUAUUUGUUACUAUCAAUUUAAAUUAUGCAAUUUCUUUACUUAGUAACUUGAUCUGUAGAAAUCCCUAAAUUAUGCAAAUAUCUUUUUCGAGAAUGAGAGCAACAUUAACUGAAAUUUCUUUCAAAUUAAAAAUCCUAUUAUCGCAUUAACUCAUGCUAUGGAUUUCAUUAGAUUUGACUCUAAUUUGGUAGAUUUAUGUCAUCCUAUGUAUAAGAUUGCAUGCAACUCUACUUAAUUACGCAAGAUCUACUCUUAAAUAGGGUUUAUUCAACCUUCGAUUUAGCACAUCAAACAUAGAUAAAAAAGUUUAGGAAUAUCAAAUGACAGAAUCCAUCAUAAGGUUCAUCUCUCUAGGUAUUUAAAAAAUUAGUUCAUGCUUGAAAAUAAAAAUAUCCCAGAGAUAAUAUAACUGAAAGAAAUAAAGAAAGUCAUGAUAAUCUCCUGAGAAAUCAACUGAGAAUCAUCAAUUUUGACGAAAAUCUACUUCAGAAUCGGCUUCGAUGGUGUUUUUUCAAGUUGUUUUCUUGAAUAUUCUAUGAUAGAUCUCUCCAAAUUUCUUAUUUUUGUCAUAUAUACGUCUUACGAUGCCCAAAAAACCUAAAAAUCUUGAUUUUUCGCUGUUUACAGUGCAAAUUUAAGCAAUCGACACGGCCUGUCGAAUGGUCGUGUAGGUUACACGGUUAUGUGGAAUAGGUCAGCCCAUGUGGCUCUUGUAGUUUGCUCUGAUUUUUCAAUUUUCACUCCAUUUGCUCCCAAGUGCUCUAUUAAGCAUCAAAACAUGAAUUAAAAGCAUAAAAAUCACCUAAAAACGCAUUAAGAAUGAUGUUAAAACAUAUUAAUUUUAACACUCAUCAGUAUGACAUUAAUUUAUUUGUUUGUGUCUACUUAUGCAAAAUGGUGUGUGUUAAGUUAUUUUCAUGGCAAGCAAUUUGUCACGCACCCUAAAUUUGAAUAUGUGAAUGGUAGCUUAGAAAAGUUUCAAGUGGACUCUGAUUUAUUAUGCUACUGGGGUAUUAUAAACUAUGUGAAAGACUUAGGAUAUGAAUCUGAACCAUAUGUUUAUUACAGGUCCAAAAUGUUGCCUUUAAUGGGGAUAGGUUAGUCCUAAUACAUGAUGAAAACACUAUUAAGCAAAUAAUAUAUAUUUUGGAAAACAAAGGGUAAUGUAGACCUAUAUGUAGUAGGUCAAGGUAUUGAAAACUUUAAUGAGGGUGAGUUUGGUGUUGACGAAGGUUUAGUGGAUAUUGUUGGUGAGGGUGUUAUAGGUACCAUAGGAACUAAAAUUUGGGAAAAAGUUAAGACUAAGGGGAGAGAAAAUUCUAGGACUGAGGGUGAAGACGAUGUUGAUAGUAAGGUAGGGAAUAUGAUGAUGCAUUCUUAUUCAACAUGGAGAUAAUGAUGUAGAUGAAGAAGUUGAGAAAAUUAAAACUAGGUAGAGAAGCCAAAAAAAAAGGGAAGAACAUGGGCUAAUGAAGCGUUAAAAUAAUAGUUUGAGAAAGAUGGUGAGGGAGAUAAUGAGGUUUUCGAUGGACAUAUACUUGUGGGGGAUGAUUUCAUAGUAGAAGAUGAGAUAGAAGAAAAUAAGGGAAAAGUUGAGGGGAAUAAAAGUAAAUAUAUAGAUUCAUCUAAGCUAGAAGAUUAUGAGGACAGUGAGUUUUUUGAUGAUGGGAUUAGCAUAUCUUACUUGGGUGAAAAAAUUGUUGGUCCUAGGUAUGAUCCUAAUUUUUUAUCCCAUUGUGGGAGAUAUAAAUUAGGUUUGAAGAUAACCAACAGUUUAAAGAGGUGCUAAAAAAAUAAUCCUUUGCAAAAGGAGUAAUAUUAAGGUUUAUUAAGAAUGAACCCAAAAGAACAAGGGUAAGUUGUAGAGAUGGUUGCCCCUGGAAACUUUCGGCUAGCUUUGACCAUAGAGAGAAUUGUUUCAUUAUGAAAACUUACAACCCUACACAUAAAUUAUUCUGAAGCAAUAAGAAUCCAUUACUGUCUUAUAAGCAUAUACAGAAGACUUUUAAGGAUAGAAUAAUUGUUGAGCCAAAGAUGAGAGUGGUAAAUUUGAAGGAGAUGUGUAAAACUGAAUUAGGACUUUAUGCUAGCUAUAGUAUAUGCCAAAGAUCUAGGAGAAAAUUUCUUAGGGAAAUGAGAGGGUCAUACCUAGAAGAGUAUGCAAAUCUGUAAGGGUAUGUUGUUGACUACUAAUAAGUAAUCUUAGGAGCACAACUUUAAUCCAAGUCCAUAGAAAUCAAGAAGUUAAAGCUGUGUUCCAUAAUAUUUAUGUGUGUUUCAAAGCAUUGAAAAAAGGGUGGAAAACUGGUUAUAAGUUUUUUAUUGGAAUUGAUGGAUGUUUCCUUAAAAGUGUAUGUAAAUGAGAGAUGUUAGUGGUUGUUGGCAGAGAUGCUAACAAUAAAAUAUAUCUAUUGGCUUAGGCAGUGAUGGAAGGGGAAAAUGCCUCCUCGUGGAAAUGGUUUUUGGAGAAGUUAUUUACAAAUUUUUGUCAUCCAAUAGGUGUUGAAUUAACAUUGAUGUCAACUUAACAAAAGGUAAAUUAUUAAUAUAAAUAUUUUCAUUCUAUUUAUUGUUUUAAUAUACACAUUUUACACUAAUUGUAUGACUAACAAUUUGAAUUUUAUGAUUGUUACAGGGAUUGAUUAGUGUACUAAAUGAGUGUUUUCUAGACUUGGAGCAUAGAAUGUGUGCCAGGCACACCUAUGCCAAUUGGUAGAAGGGUUGAAUAAAAAGAUGCAAUUUUGGAAUUGUGUCAAGUCAACUUUUGUUAAGGACUUUGAUGAUCAGUUACAAAAAUUAAAAGCAAUGGGUGAGACAUCCACUCAUCAAUUAUUAGAGAUCCCUGCGCAUCGCUAGGAAGAAUAUGAUGCAGUAGACAAUAAUAUUGUCAAGGCAUUUAAUGCAUGGAUACUUGAUGCAAUGUGCAAACCUAUCAUUACCAUGCUUGAAGAAAUCAAAGUGAUGGUGAUGACUAGGAUGCAUGUGAAGAGAACUUGGGCAGAAAAGUGGAGAACUAACAUUUCUCCUGUUGUAUUGAAAAAGUUAGGAAAGAAUGCUACAACCUUAACUAAAUGUAAGCUUGCAUGUAAUGGUGAUGGAGGGUUUGAAGUGAUCCAUGAAGACAACCAACACACAGCUGACUUGAAAGAGUUGAAAUGCAUUUGCAGAAAGUGGGUGCUUAUAGGGAUUCCUUAUUGCCAUGUUGUAUGUGCCAUGUACCAUAACGAGAAGAAUUUAGAAGCCUAUGUCUCACCAUGGUACAACAAUGAGCAAUAUGUAGCAGCAUACAGUCAAGUUUUACAAUCAAUUGGGGGAAAGUUUUUGGCUCAAGAAAGCUGAUUCAAUUCUUCCUCCACCUGUAAAAAAGAUUCUUGGAAGGCCUAAGAAAAAUAGAAGGAAAACUAAAGAUGAACCAAAAAAGAACAAGUUUGGAAAGGACACUAGGAGAGGAUUUAAAAUGUCAUGUUCUUUGUGUAAACAAGUAAGACACAACAAGAAAUUGUGUCCAACAAGAUCAAAUAUGAGUAAGAAUUUACAAGUAAUUCGCGGACCACUUUAUUUGAGAUAAGCUUUUCUUUAUUUUCAUAUUUGUUUAACCAAUAAAUACAUUAUAAUGAAUGUCUUACUUUCUUUCUAGGAACAAAAUUUGAAUGUUGGUUCAUCCUUUAUGCAAGUACAACAACCUCAAUUAGAAGCUACUAUGCAACAGGUAAAAGAUACAUUAAUGUAGUAUGGUGUAAUAUCUACUUGGUUGACUAUUUGAGAAUUUUGAUUGUUUAGUUUUGAUAAUUGCUCAUAAAUUUUGUUCUCUGUUGGUAGAUUCAACCAUUUCACUAGGCAAUUUGAGUGGUCUAAUUUCUUCUUUGUCUUUUGGUUUAAAUAAUUUAGUUUAAAGAAUUAUACGGGAUUCUAGAAAUAUCAUUUGGUUUAAGAUAAAUAGAUUGAGAAAUCAACUCUAUUUCUUGUUGUACUCUUUCAUUUCUAAUCAUAUUUAGCAUAUUACGUGCUACCUUGUCAAUUAGCUUGAUUUCUUUUUUGUUUCAAGCUGUAACUAUUUCUUUUUUAUACUUUGCUGGCAAACAUCUAAGAACUCACAACAUGGAAGGAAAAGAAAAAGAAUCAGGUUUAUCAAUUUUUCAAUAUGUCACCAAGGCAGAAGGCACAAAAGAAGAAGAAGAAGAAAACAACCAUUUAGUGUUGGGAUGUACACAAACCUCAAAACUGGUGAACAAAUACUAUAUGUGAGUAUAUGUAACAAUUCUAAAUAUUGAUUUUGUUACCUUUUGACUAAGUAAUUUAUAUCUAUUGAUUUAAUUGCUUUCUAUUUUUCCCUAAAACCUGGUACAAGCAGUGAAAGAACCACUACUAUUGUAAGGAAGAUUGGACAAUCUGAUACUUCCCAAUAUCAACAUUCACGGAAAGGCCCUAGAUUGAAGUGGAAGGGGAAAAAGGCUGUGACAAUAAGGCAAAUUAUGCAACAACACUUUGAUGUUGUCCAAAAGAAGAGGGGAAAUCCUUCUAAACAAGUGCAGAUAAGGACACAAGCAAGCCAAAGAAAUUCUAUUAUAAUAGAUGAUUGAAGUGCAAAUUGAUGCUAGCUUAAUUUUAGUUUCUCUGAUAGUAUAGUUUAUGGUUGACAAGGGACAAGAUUGGUACAUUUUGUUCAUAUGGGAACCAUUUGUUGAUAAGAGAACAUCUUGUUUACAUUGGAACAUUUUGUUGAUAAGAUGCAUUUUGAGGAUAUUGCAUAUUCAAAUUUACUUUUUAUGUAAUUUUUUGACGUUUUGUUUCUUUAUUGUUUGUUAUUGAAUUAUGGUUUAAUUGAUAUUUAAAAUUCAUACGGAAUUGCAAUUAAAUAUUGUUUGCAUUUGAAGAUGGAAUCUUGUAGUUUUGGGGUUAGAGUUGCUAUUUUUUUUCUUUGGUUCAAUUCAUUACAAAAAUUAUAAUUAAAUUUUAUUGUAAAUAAAAUUAAUUAAAUUAAUUUAGUUAUAAUGAUAAAUAAAAAAAGUCAAACUUAAUAGACACAUCAUCUUGACCGUUAAAAAUUAUUGGUCAACGUCAGUCAAGGGUUAUUUUACUGAGUUUUGACGGUUCAAGUACUCAAUUGAGUGAAAAAUAAAAGACUUCAAUUUUUUUUUUAAUUCAAGAACUUUCUUCUUUCUUAAGCCAUAAAAACUAAUCACUAUAUUAUAUUAAAAUAAAAUUAUACUUUCUAUAAAAAGAAAGUUAAAGAUUUUAAUUAUUCAAUAAAUUGUAAUACACAAUAAUAUUAAUUAUGAGGAAGGUUAGAGAGACGGCAAAAACAAUUAGCCAUGAAGAAACCAUAAUAAACUUAAACAAAUUUAAAUAAAUAAAUAAAAUAAAAAUAUGUAAAUAAAUAAAUAAAAUUAAAAAUACAACUUCCUAAAAAAAUAAAAAUAAAAUUUGAAUCUAAAAUGAAAGCUAAUAAUAUUGCAAAAACUAUUUAACAUUCCCAAUCUUGAUAUUCUUUAAUAUAUCUUCCUCCACAUUAUCUUCUUUUGUUUGAGAUCCUUAUUGUUUAAUAAUGCAAUUAAUCACAUUUUGAUUCAUAUUGCUUCAUUCAACUUCACAAGAAAAAAAUAUUGUUAAUUUCAAAUUAAAAAAAUAUUAUUAAAUAUAUAACACAAUUAAUUGCAUUUUGACUCUUGUUCCUUUAUUCAAAACUUCACAAGAAAAGAAAAUAUUAUUAAAUAUCAAAUAAUAAAAUAAUCAAAAUUAAAAUAAUAAAAUUGGAUAUAUAAGAUAAUAAUAAUUUUUAUAAGAAAACAAAAUCUAUUUGUAAAAAUAGAAUGCCGAUAAUGGUAAGAAAAGAGAGAAAAAUAGAACAUAACGAUUUUAUGUGGAAACUCUUUUGGAAAAAAAACCACGAGCAGAGGAGAAGAAAAUUCACUAUGUAUGUCGAAUUCGAAUAAUACAAGAGGAGAGAUGACUACGUCUAUUUAUAAGUUUGUAAAACCAUAUUCUAAUCAAAGCCAAAUAGAAGUAAUGCAGUAAAGUUAAAAUACCUUAUUCUAAUCAACAGUAAUUAGAGGAAGUGUACUUCUAUACGGAUUUCACUUGUCCGCCUUACCCUUAUAGAUCCUCUAUCUUGUCACUUGUAUUUUUAUUAAACAAGAAUUUGGGUCACAUAUCUUUAACACUAUCAAAUAACAAUAAAAACUUAUAUAUAUAUAUAUAUAUAUAUAUGUAAAUGUUACUUUUUUUUUAUAAAUACAAAUGUAUAGAACUAUUUAUAGUCCCUCCCCACCCUAUAAUAGGAAGAUAAAUGCGUUUCAGCACGCUCAAACACAUAUCCUCCUGCAUAAACAAUAAUAUUAAUGUCGAUCGAGUUAAGACUUAGUCGGUUCUAAAUGUUAUUUUGAAUGAAAAUGUUUUGUUAAUUCAACUAUUAUAUCAUAUCAUAUAGUUUAUAUUAUAUUAUACCACAUUAUAUUAUUAUAUGGAAAAAUAUUUAGUAUAUUAUUAAUAGAGUUUUUAAACUUCUCAAAUGUGAUUAAGGAAUUAAUAAGUAUACUAUAAAAAUAUAAUAAAUAAAUAAUUAAACGAAUUCAUAAAUUUUAAUAGUUGGAUAAGAAACACUUAAUUAUAAUGAUGUGACUCACAAUGUAAUUUGUGGCUAAAAAGACAAGAGCAGGCCGUACUUUAGCUUCAAGCAAUCACCACCAGACGCACGCCACAGACGUAAGGAAUGGCAUAUACUACUCGCUCUAUGGAAGGUCCUAGAAUUAUUAUUAUCCUUGUAAUAAUUAUUAAAGAUUGUUGUCAAUAAAGCGUCCAAUAUCGAAUAAUAAAUAAAUAAAUAAAGCAUCCAACGUUAGAACAUGAAAUGGACGUACUACCUGUAAUUAUUCAUAUUAUAUGUUUACUAUAAAGUAACUACCGGAAGUAAACAAAGAGCUAGAAAUAAAUCUUGAAACUUUUAUAAUAAUAAAAAUAUAAUUUUAUUAUUUUAAUAUUUUAUAUAUUUAUAAUUUUUGAAAGAUUAAAAUAAAUUUUUAUUAUUUUUAAAGAGUUAAAAUAUAAUUUUAUAAUUAUUAAUUUAAAAUAUUAUAAAUUUCAUUUAAAAUAUUAAAAAUCUAAAUAAAAAAAACUUCAUUGAGAACUGGAUUCCUUACUAACCUCAUUGAAUUCGUCACUAACAUAAACCUAAUCUAACCAAACCCACCCUAAUAAAACUUAUAAAUAAACCUAGACUGAAAUCACAUAAUUUAGAGUUUUUGAGAUACAUAUUAUUUUUCUUUUAUUGAUUGAUUUCCAAUAUAUAUAUACUACUUAUUAAUUAUUUUAUUGAAUUAAUUUCACUCAUCAACUGAGUUAAAAGAAAUUACUCAAAAAUAUUUUUAUUUACAAAAUAAAUUAUAUAACUAUGAAAAUAUUUUUUAUCUUUUUAUAAAUAAAUAAAACAUUAUCCGUAGUAAAAUUUGAACCAAAAGACACUAUGCAUAUUAAACUUUUUUAUUUAUCAUUUAAACUAAACCUAUUUUUUAGUUUUCAUUUGAAACUUCUAUAAAUAUAUUUAUAAUUCUAAAAUUAUAUAUAUAUGAAUAAUGUUAUUGAUUAAACUAGUGUCAUCAAUAAUUUCACAUAUAUAAGCCGUGUGAUAAAAUUUUUAAUUUGUAUAAAUUUAUGAUAUAAUUAAUAAUACAGUCAACCAAACUCCAAUUUAUAUAAAAAAAUUAUUAAAAUAUAUUACACAAUACAAUGUAUUAUUAUAAAAAUAUUUUUAUUUUUUUACCUUUUAUUUAAAAAUUUGAUUUAAUUCGUGAUUCAAUGAAUUUAAACAUUAAAUUUUACUAAAAAAAAUUCCACUCCCUUUUCAAUAAAUAUAGUAUUAAAUAAUUUUCUUUCACCUAAACCAUAUUUUGAUCAUUAUUUAGGUUAGUUAGGUAAAAAAAUCUUCUCAAAUUUUUUCAAAUUUUAAAUUUAAUAAAUUGGUUUCUUUAAAAAAAUUAGAGUAAUUUAAUAUUUUUUAAUUUUAAAAAUAAGCAAUUAAGGAUAAUUAAUUAUAAUUUUAAAUUUUUUAUUAAUUGUACAUUAUUUUGAUUAGUAUAAUAAUACAUUUAGCCUUCAAAGUUUAUAUAUUCUAUCUAUUUGGUCUUAAUUUAAUAAAUUUAUUUAUGUUGAGGCUAAAUUAUGUUAAACUUUUUAAAAUUAAGGCCAAAAUGAUAAAAUAUGUAAAUAUUAAAGAUUAUAUUUAUUGUUAUAUUAAUCAAAAUUAUGUAUAAUUAAAAAAGAUAUGAAUUUCAUGAUUAAUUAUUUUAAUUUCUCAUUUUUAAAAUAAAUAAAGAUGAGUUACUUCAAAACAUUGAAGUCACAGAAAAAUUGAAUAAAAGAAAUAUCAUAGAAAAACCUACCAACCCUCCUAUAAAUAUACUCUGACACCCCCUUCAGAAUCAGAGAAAAAAAAGUAAAAUCCAAAAGAAACCCAAGAUUAUAAAUUUAGUAUCGAUUUGAGUAUUUGAAUAGUUUAGAUUACAAGAAUGGCAGGGGAAUUAGUAUUGUUGGAUUUCUGGCCAAGUCCAUUUGGGAUGAGAUCCAGGAUUGCUUUGGCUGAGAAAGGGAUACCAUACGAGUACAGAGAAGAAGAUUUGAGGAACAAGAGUGAUUUGUUGCUGCAGAUGAACCCUGUUCACAAGAAAAUCCCUGUUCUUAUCCAUAAUGGUAAACCCGUUUGUGAGUCUGUCAUUCAGGUUCAGUAUAUUGAUGAGGUCUGGCAUGAUAAAGCUCCUUUGAUCCCUUCUGAUCCUUAUCAAAGAGCUGUUGCCAGAUUCUGGGUUGAUUUCGUUGACAAGAAGGUGCUUUCUUUUACUCGUUUAAGUCUCUACGUUUCUGCUAUGAUUGUUCAAUGGGCUGACUUGAUUUUAGAUUAUGUUUUGAUUUAGUUUCCAUUUUGGGGAGGGGGGUGGUUCUGGGCUGCAAAUAGGACGGCAACAGAGUGGCAGGAAUUGCUUAAUCUAUAGGAUUUUAUUAUACCAUUACUAUAUAGGUUAAACUCAACCCUUCUCUUAUGAUUGAAACAUUUGGGAUAAGUGAAGGAAAUCUAAUGGACUCAAAUUGAGAUGAACAGUAUUUUUUCAAUAAGUGAUAUUGGGUUACACUAACACAACUAUAGAGAUACUUCAAUUUUUCAUUUGUUCUGAAUGUGUAAGUUGAACUUAACCAAUUUAGAAAGCUUGAUUUUAUUGGUUUCAAAUGUUAUGCUUACAGCUCAUCCACAACUAAGUCCAUUAUUUUAAUAUUCUAGAUGAUAUUGGCUUGCUUACUCACUUUCAACCUAUUCUAGUUGCAAUUAUUGCAACUUUUUCACUAUCCACAACUAGAUCUAAUUAUCAAUGAUGAUAAUUUAUGACCAUGAUUACUGUUUGAAUUCUUUAGCUAUGCAGGGAGAACAAAAACAUUUUCUUGAUGUUCUAUGAUUAUUCAUAUUCAUGUCAUUAUAUGUUUUUCAUGUUGAGGGAGAGAUGAAACUAAAAAUAAAUGUGGAAAUUAUUACUGACUGAAUAGAACUCUAAUUCUCCAAUAUUGUAAUGUGAAGUGCAGAUAUAUGACCUGGGGAGCAAAAUAUGGAAGACAAAGGGAGAAGAACAAGCAAAUGCAAAGAAAGAAUUUAUUGAGUGCCUGAAGCUGUUGGAAGGAGAGCUUGGAGACAAGACUUACUUUGGAGGAGAAAGUCUUGGAUAUGUGGAUGUUGCAUUAGUUCCAUUUUAUACCUGGUUUUAUGCUUAUGAGAAGUGUGGGGACUUCAGCAUUGAAGCAGAGUGUCCCAAGAUGAUUGCUUGGGUUAAAAGGUGCAUGCAAAAGGAGAGUGUAGCCAAGAGUCUUCCUGACCAAGAAAAAGUCU